rnacentral:lncRNA from 1 species
GUCUGUGCGUCGGUGAGGCGGAGGAAGGUGGAGUCCGACGGGAAAUGGGCGUCGCCUUGGUAGGUGAGGUCGGUCGGCUGGUCGCCCCAGAAGUCGUAGGUGAAGGACGUCGAUUGGGACUGCGCCACGUUGGCGGCGGCGAGGAGUAGGGCGACGGAGGAGAGGAGAGGAAUUAGGGUUUGGAGAAGCUUGGCCAUUGCUUAAUUGAUUUGGAUGUGGUGGAUGAUGGUGAUAUGUCUUAAGCUUGCACUCCUAUAUAUACUAGUGUAGUUCAUGCAUGAUAAUGUUGUUUAAUCAUCAUAUAUUUUAUUUCAUUAAAAUGAAUCACCUCGUCCAUUCGAGGUAAAUGAACCAUGUGAUCUUAUGUACUACCAGCCACAUUUUAAUUUGCUCGUUGGAAUAUUAUCUAUAGUUGUAUCUAUUGUAUUUGUAUAAAUGAUUUUUGGAAGGGAACUUAGAAAAAGUUCUUGAUAGGGGCUGUAUUUUUUAAUUUCAAGUGCAAAAUUAAGUUUUGAUAGACAAUUUACUUAUGAUUCAAUUUAACGAUCGGGUUUUCUGAAAAAAAAAAAUUCACACAAAAAAUCGAUUAUUUAAUAAUUUUAUAAGAAAAAAGAAGAAGAAGAAAUUUUCUAUUUAGGAUAUACACGAGCAGAUGAGAUCCUCUGUCCCACUAUUUUGUGUGUACCACCAUGUACCAUUCUUAAUUUAUUUAUUUUAGUAAUUAUUUUUUAUAAAAAUAAAAAUUAUUAUUAUAUUUUUUAUUUUCAUUUAAGUGAGUUACUAGAUUUAUUUGGGGUGAGCACAGGUUAUUUUGGAAAAGGAGAAUAUCUGUAAGAUGAUGUGAAAAUUAUUCAAUAUAAGCACAUAUAGGGGUUGAGUUCUCAAAGGAACUUAAUUAAUAUCCAAUGUGAUUGAUACAUUUCGACUAAAUGGAUGGACUGUGACGCCCCGACCAAAAGUAAAGAGUGAUUGUGAUCGGUGCACAAGGCAUGGAUGAAAAGCGGUUCCUAGUAAUGCUUCGAUACGGAGGAUACAUGAAUGAAUCGAAACACACCAGAAAGAGAGGGAUUCCAUGAGUACGUACGCAGGUAUAUGACUGCAUAUUCGAGGAGCUUAAAUAAUUUUAUUGGUGUUACUCAUAUCAACAAGAUGCAUCUUCUUUUUUGGUGACCAUAUGAAAUAAACUCCAAGGUUAAGCGUGCUUGGCGUAGAGCAACUUGAUGAUUGGUGACCUCCCUAAGAAGUUUAUCAGAAAGCGUGCUAGUAAGAACAAAACAUGCUAGAAAAGACUCAUAUUAGUCUGUGGGGACAGCCGUUAAAUUUGGAUUCGGGUCUUUACAAGUGGCAUUAGAGAUUAACCUCUCACAGUAUGGUGCGGUUCGGGAACGAACCAAGCGGAAGUUGGUACUCAAUAUUCCAUCUAUUGUGAGUUUCUUUGUCUUCUUCAUCUUUCUUUUACUCUGCUGUCGAGUUUCAGAGAGUAAUCAGAUAGGUUUUCAUUCGAGUUGAGUUUCUUGAGUGAUAAACUGUUAAUUGUGAGUUUCAUUCGAUCAUUUGUUGAUUAUAAAUAUCUGCACAUGGAUAUUGGUCAAUUUAGAUACACUGAUCUUCAAAUUGAUUGACGAAUCUUUAGAAUUCAAAAUUUAAAUCAAAUACGCGUGUUCAUAGUUAAUUGGUAAGUACACUUUUUUUUNAUAUAAAUAUAAUUGACUCGAGAUCUCUGCUACUUACGCAUACUUCGCUCGAGACAAAAAUAAAUAAUUGAUCAUUGAGAACUCCGCUACCACACCAUACUCGUGUACUAUUUAUCAUUGUUUAUGAUUAUUAAUAAAGACGUGUCUUUGCCUGAUAAAUUUAAUUUUCAUACUCUUGAUUCUUUUUUGGCCAUAUCAUUUUUUAAAAAAUUGGGAGGGGAAUGGUGGAAAUUGAAUAUGAAAAAUACCAGUCAAAUGAUACAUGUGCACUUUCAAAGACAAAACAUAAAUGUAACCUUCGUUUGUAAAACAUAGAAAUUCUACCAUAUAUUUGUGAUUAUUUUACCUUUAUACGAUCUAUUUAUAUAUAUUUAUUAGAAUUAAUAAAAAUAUACUACAUUCGUCCACGAAAAAGAAUCUCAUUGUGUGCUGGAUGUGAGUCGUAUCGAGAGUGAGAGGGAACACAUUGUCUCCGGUCUCUGCCGUCUUGGCGAGAUCUUCGGCAUUGGCCUGAUCCGGCCGCUGAGGUGGCCGGUAGGUCAUCCAUGGAGUAUGGCUAUAUUCAUACUCGUAUCCCAUUUUGGUUGUAGAACAAGAAGGCGGUGUUGUUGAAAUCGUCGUCGUUGAUAUCCUUUGGAAAACCGGCUGGGAUAGUUUUCGCCAUUAGAGUGAUGUGCGUAGAAGAGAGGAUCUUCCGGCGGUCUUCGCGGAAACCGUUGUCGCGUGUCCAUAGUUCAUGGAUUGAAAAUAUGCAGGUAAAGCACCCGGCGUACUCGGCCAUACAAUUAACUCGCCAUCAUGAGCUAUAAUUCUAUUCGAGUAAGUUCAAUCUCUAAUGAAUUAAUAUAUUUUUAUAAAUAUAUAAUUUGCAAAAUAACCUUAAAAUAAAAUAUGUAAUAAGGGUAAAAUAGGCAAUCCACAUGUUGUGCUCAAUGCUCUUUUUAUAUUACUAGGAGAAAGAUAAUUAAUGUUAUUUUAUCUAAUAAAAUAAAAAAUAUAAAUAUAAUAUUUAUUAUAUUUAAAUUUUUAAUUAACAAUUUUGUUUAUUUAAUUCUCUUAUCUCUUACAAUAUUUUUUUUUAGAAAAUCUAUUAGUUCAUUACUUCGACUAAAUAUAAUUUAUUGGAUAGAUAUAUUUAUUUAUAAGCCUUAUCAAUAGCUAUAGAUAUAUAUUACAUAGAUUUAAUGUAAUAUUUAAUGAAUCAAUAGCUCUUUUCUUUUAUAUUAGUAUAGAUUAUAUAGAUAGAUAUAUAUAGUGCAUGCAUGAUAAUGUUGAUUGAUCAUCGUAACUAUAUAAUUUAUUGCACUAAUAAUGAAUCACGUUCCCACUCGAGGUAUAUAAAAUGAAUCAUGUGACCUUUUCUACUACCCGACACAUUUUGCUCCUUGGAAUAUUAUUUAUAAUUGUGUCUAUUGUAUAGUGCAUGCAUGAUAAUGUUGUUUAAUCAUCAUAAAUCUUCAUGGCUCAUCCACCUCAUCCAAUCGAAGCAUAUAAUGAACCAUGUGAUCAUAUCUACUACCUGACACAUUUUGCUUCUUGGAAUGCUAGCUAUAAUUGUAUCUAUUGUGUGAAUGUAAGCAAAAGGGCGCGCACAAUUUUUUAUUUUUUUUUGGAUAGGUGACUCGCUCAAAAUACCUAUUGAAUUGACUCGUAAUCGCACGAGGUCAUUCUAGCGUAGUAAGCUAACCCAUGUCGUAUCUCACAAGGAAGAUUAAGCAGGACGACUAAUUUUGGAUUAUUUUUAAUCAAAUGUUGGAUAUUUUUUAAUUAGAGUAAAAUUAAAAUAAGUAAAUUAUUGUAUAUUUUCAGAUUCGGAAACUAAUGGCUUUAUUUUAAUUUAAUCAUUUUCAUAUGUCAGUUAUAUUAUGUAAAUGACGUUUUUAGUAACAAACAAAUGACAUUUUAAUCAAUAAAUGAUACUUUUAUCAAUAAUAAAUGAAACCAUAUUAAGGUAAAUAGGGUAAAGGUUAGACUUAACUGUGAAAGCAUCAUGAGUUUUAUGUGUAACAUUUUCGGUGUGAAAAUUGAUGAGUUAAAAAAAAUGCUCCAUAUUGAAUUCGACAUUAGAUGAAUCUACAGUAGAUUUUCAUGCAUGAUCUAAGAGCUGAAAAUGAUUCACGGUCUAUAUUUAUUCUAUCAAAUUCCAUAUCACUUUAAAUCUCAAAUUACAUUUGCACUAUAUAUGAUUAUAUCCUAAAUUAUCAUAAAUAUGAACCGCUUAAAUCUGGCGUCGUUGCACCGCGGACAUCUUGCCGCUGCUUUCUCCCACCAUUGCCCUUGCUGCCCUCAUCUUAGGUGCCAAUUUUUUGCUCGUCGUGCAGAAUUUGAAAGGGGUAAAUUAUUUUUUCAAUUUUUUAUUGCAUUUUGCUGUCUAAGUUGAUUUCUCAAGUAAAGUGGACUUGGGUUUUGUUUCGAUUAUAGCUGAAUUCGAUGGCGCUGUGUGGUUAGAUCUGUAAUUUUGACGUGUUGUUGAAGUGUGCGGGAUUGAAUGUGAUCUGGGAGAAUUUAAGGGUUUUGGGACGUUAGUAUGAUGAUGGUGGGAUUUGAAUGAAUUUGAAUACCAGAUUAUGGUUGAUGUUUAAUUAUGUGAAUCUUGCGAUCUGUGUUGAAAUUAAUGUACAGUAUCUUCGCCUAGCCGGGGGUUCACCAUUUGGUUCCCGACCGUCCUGCUGCCUUCACUCCACACUCAAGUGCCAAUAUCUUCUUCUCGUUUCUCUUCCUUCUUCUUCUCCUCUUAGUACCUGCAAGACAGAAGGAAAAACCAGCAAGUAUAAAGAAAAAUCAGAAAACUUAAAGAAGUAAAGAAAGAAAGAAAACAAAGGAAACUCGAGGUGGGAAAAAGGUGUCCUCGGGACACAGGUGGCUCAGAUUUUUCCCACAGUGGCAACACACUCCGGCAGCUCAAAGACCACGGCACAAAGGGGAAGGGAAGUCAGAUCGGAGCUCAAAUCUGACGAGCACAGCCACCAAUAAUCAGGAAUCCGGUGGACAGGAUUCCGGCGGCUCAGAAAUCCUUCGCUUUAUCACCAAACAGGAAAUCUAAGGUCAGCAAUCCGACAAUAAUGCUAUCAACAGGAGGAAGCUCUCACUUUACGGCCACAACACCGGAAACCAGAACGGAAACCAGAGAACAGAAGGAAUAGCAGAGCCUUCAAGGUUGUGAACAUACUACAGAACUUCCCCCAAUCGAUUGCUUUAUAACCGAGACAGAGAAGGGUCGGGAAGAUGUAGUGGGCUUUGGGAAGGAGGAGGAAGCCAUUAAUGGUGGUGGAGCUCGAGGGAAAGCGAGAUCAGCAGUCGUGAAGACUUAGGGUUUGGGAGGGGAUUUGAGGUGGAGCGGCGGAGGUUGAAAUGAGGGAAAGGCCGAGUGAGAGAGGGAGUAUUUCAGUGGAUAAUGGGCUAGGGUAUUUUUGAGUUAACGGGCUAUAGGUGUCUGGGCCCAAAAGUUGGGCCAGAGAAGGGAUAAAGAGCAUUGGGCCAACAUUCCACAAUUAAGACAAUUAAGAGUAGAAAUUCUUCUUGAUUUGCUAAUUUAUUUAGGAUUAGCGAUAUUAGUUUGGAGUUUUAGAUGUCGAUUGAUUUCGUGAUCUUGAUUUAUGUGAUAAAUGCCUCUCAUCACUAAGAUUUGGAAUAUAUUGGAUAUCUAGGAUAGUGAUAUUAGUUUGGAGUUUUAGAUGUUGAUGUGUCUUUUUAGGCUGCGUUUACUUUGAUGGAUAAAUUUAUAUAUGGAAAAGGAUGGAUAACACAAAUUUAUGCUUUUAAAUGUCUCCUUCCUCUUCCAACAUUUGACACAAAAAGAGAUGCUCGCUAUUUUUUCUUCCUUAUCUUCACUUCAAGGAUGGAUAAUAUUAUCCCUCCAUUUUGGUGUGAUAAUAUUAUCCAUCAUUGAAGUGAAGAUAAGGAAGGAAAAAUAGUAGAGCAUCUCUUUUUGUGUCAAAUGUUGGAAAAGGAAAGAGACAUUUAAAGGCAUGAAUUUGUGUUAUUCAUCAUUUUCCAUAGAUAAAUUUAUCCAUCAAAGUAUACGAAGCCUUAUGUGAUAAAUGCUUUUUUAGGGGGGCCCACGGGCAUGCUGCCCCAUAUGCUAUGGAGUAUGGACCAUGGUGGCUCGGUCACUGCGCUCUCGAUUGCGAAUUAUUUUGCAUUAUCUUUGUUUGUUUUUCUUAUAUUGGGAAAGAAAACAUAGAGUAAUAUAUAUUUUAGAAGUCCAGUUACCAAUGUCGUCAAUCUCGAGUGAAAAUAAAUAUUACCAUAACACAAAAAUGACAAAGCUAUUGAUUAGUGACGAUAUGUUAGAAGUUCAGAUAAACAACACAUUUAUUCUUGUGUAUAUUAUAUUAACGUUUAUUAUAUAUUAUAAAAAGAACAUAUUCUUUCAAAAUUAUCUUGUCUAUUUUUAGAAGUUCAGAUAAACAACACAUUUUCAGAAGAAAUUUAAUAAUCUCUUACGAUUUACAUAUAAUUUUUAAAUAAUUAAUUAUCUCAGUGGUGAUAAAAUAAAAAAACGAAGUAAUUUAUUAUAUACAAAAUAUUAUGAUUUAUGUUUGUAUAUUAUUUGUUUCCAUUAGUGCAUUAUCAUUUCUAAGUAUCUUCUCACUUGUUCACUGAUUCACUAUUGGAUUAACAUGAAUAUACGAAUUUCAUAGUAUACCAACCGUUCGAUAAAAGUCCUCAAAGAAAUCUUCCAUAGAUAACCUUGCAAAAGUACGUGUAUCUAUAUUAAUAGAAUAAGAGCCUAAGGAAUCUUAAAACACAAUUUUUGGAUUGCCUAUUUUACCACUAUUAUAUAUUAUUUUAAAAUUAUUUUACAUAUUAUAUAUUAAUAGGAAUAUAUUAAUUCAUUAGAUAUUACACUAAAUCUAUGUGAUAUAUUUCUAUAGCUAUUGAUAAGGCUUAUAAAUAAAUAUAUAUCCAUCUAAUAAAUUAUCUAAUAAAAGUAAUGAAUUAAUAGAUUUUUUAAAAUAAUAAAUUAUCAAAUAAAAUAACAUUAAUUACACACGUACGUUCUUUCUGCUAGCUAGUUAAAUAAAAAGAAGAAGAAACUGAGACUGAAAAAGGGAGAAUUAAGAUAGUCCAUUAUUAUCGUCUUAUUUUUAGAACUUAAACGAGAGAAAAGUCCAUCGCUAGUCCUAAUUUACAACACAACACAACACAUGAUAAUAAAUUUAAAUCACACAUAUUGCCGGAUGUACCCUUCCUCCUCUUUGCCGGCGGCGGCAUGCACGAGGGUGGACGUGAAAUACCACGAGACGAUGUCGUGCACGGCGUCUUGGCCUCCGGUGGCCGCGGAGAUCCCGACCUGAACCUGCUGAGGAAGAAUGGCGCUCAGGUCGUACACAUAGCUCACCUCGUAUGUUUGCGAGCCGGCGGCGAGGCUCACGCUGAUCAGCUUAGUGGCUUCCAGGUAGUUGAUGCGCGCAGUCACCUGCUGCCCGAGCAACGCGUUGCCGACGUUGGUCACGUUUUUGGAAACAUUAGAUUCGAUGUCGAUCCCGAUAUGGCGAUAGCUAGGAUCCACUCCGGGGUUGGAGAAGACGUCGAAUUCCACGGCGAAGACGGCGGGGCCGACGCCGGAGGAGUUGAAGAUUCCGAAGCAGCCGCCGGUGAAGCCGAGGGGUAAGCCGACGGGGGCGAUGAAGAAGGUCACGCCGUCGGCGGGGUUCGUGUCGCCUGCGUUGGGGGUUACGGCGAACGUCAGGGUGGUCUCGAAGUCGACCUGCGCGCCGGCCUCCCAGAACGUGAUCGGGGCUGAGUACACGGCCCGGCCGACGCUGUACUGGACCGCGCUGCCGGAGCUGGUGGUGUUGGUCAUGCGGAGGAAGGUGGAGUCCGACGGGAAGUGGGCGUCGCCUUGGUAGAGGAGAUCGGUCGGCUGGUCGCCCCAGAAGUCGUACGUGAAGGCUGUCGAUUGGGACUGCAUGCGCCGUGUUGGCGGCGGUGGCGAGGAGGAGGGCGAUGGAGAUUAGGGUUUGGAGAAGCUUGGCCAUGGCUUAAUUGAGUUAGUAGUAUUUGCUUUGGAUGUGGUGUGAUGAUGGUGUAUUGGUGUUAACUCUUGCUCCUAUUUAUGCUAGUAUAGUGCUUGAAUGAAAAUGUUAUUUAAAUUAACAUCAUAUUUUUUAUUACACAAAAAUGACUCACCCCAUCUUCUCGAGAUUAACUGAACUUGUGAUCUCUAAUAAUUUAUAACCUACCACAUUGUAGUUGUUGGAGUAUACUCCCUCUGUCCCGGUUUUAGCACGAGUUUUAAUAAAUUGGUUGAUUGUAUUAUGAGUAGAAUAAGGAUAAUAUUUUUUAUGGAAGUGUUAAAAUAAUUAAAAUUGAGAAAAUGUUUCACCUAUUUUUAUUAAAAAUAGAAAUGAAUUUUAAAAUAUGGGACGACGGCCAGAAAAAGAAAAUAUAUAUGGAUACUAAAAGUUGGGACGGAGUGAGUAUUAUCUAUAGUGGUAUCUAUUGUAUGAGUACAAGAGAUUUACUUGACUUGUUGAGGUAUGGAGAGAUUAUUACAAACCACGUGAAAUUGAGUUCUUGCUCCCACUGUAAAAGCAAUAAAUAUAGGGAAAAGAAAAUUAAUACUUCCUUCGUCCAAGAAAUGAGUACACAUAUUUCUUUUUUAGUCCGUUCAUGAAAUGAGUACUCAUUAAUUUUUCUUUUUAUCAAGUGUACCUCACACAACCCUUUAAUUAAUUAAUACCUUUAAAAAGUGGGUCCCUUAUUCCACUAACACCACACUCAAUCAUUUCUUAAAACCUGUAACGUCCCCAAAUGAGAUUCAUUUCGUGGAUUGAGUAAAUUCUAUACUACAAAUUAAUGGUUCGAAUUCACUUUAAAAAAUAAACUACAAUUAAGAGUCCCUCUCUUAAUUGGAAUUCAUAGACCAUCUGCUUCAGUCGUGCCCGAAGACAGAAAAGGUUUGGAUUGGAAUUCAUAGGUGGCUAGGGAAUAAAAGCAGUGUGGCCUCAAUCAUUGAAGCACACUUCGAUUUGUUCACAAAUCUUGACAAAGGAAAGGAAGGUCGAUUUUUCUAGCGACAGUAUGGGUCUAUACCAUUUGGUUGCUGUGGAAAUGACGUAACGAGAGCAGAUUUGAGGGCAAGACUUGGGAGAUCAAUGACGUGAUCGAAGAAGUGAAAGUGAGGAUGUGGAGUUGGAACAAGAUUUUUGGACUACAUGUUAAAGAGAUUAGCUCUCAAUCUUGGUUUUCUUGUGAAACUCCUCUUGUUUUGUGUAAUUUGGUCGUAUCUCUGGUACCAAACUCUCUCCUAAUAAAAUUUCUUUUCUGAUUAAAAAAAAAAAAAAGAGUCCCUCUCUUAAUCAAGUAGACUGGAUGCGGUAAGAGAGAAAUCACUUCCAACUUAUCGAUUUUACUAGCAACAACUAGAUUUAUACUGAAGCUAAAUUGGAUCAGACUCUAGGAUUCACUAGUCUUUUACUCAAGGUGAGUCGGUUUACGAGUCUCAAACUCAAGGUGAACUAGAAUGUCUGUCAAUACGAACGUUGGGAGUUCGAGGGUUUUUUAGGACAGUAACUUAGAUUGAUUUGGAAAUUAGGACAAUAACUUUCGGACUUGUAAAAAUAGGACUCUAAUUCUUUUUAAGAGUAAAAUAGGACACUAAUUAAUAAGUGUUACAUCCGCAGGACAUUUUUCGGCCAAUUAUCGGCCGAGAAAUGUCCUACUUUUACGACGCUUAUUAAUUAGUGUCCUAUUUUUACAAAUUCGAAAGUUUUGUCUUAAUUUUCAAAUCAACAUAAGUUAUUGUCCUAAAAAAUCCCCUGACUCCGAACGUUGGAACAAGCUCGGCAAUAUACUGCUAUUCAACAUUAAUGGCACUUUGCACUAAAUGAAUUGGUGUCGAAUUAAUACAUCGUCUUGCUGCUCAUAUCUAUAUAAUAAAUGCAUACCUGCACCUCGAUAUUAAUCAAUUUAGAUACACUAAAUCUCGGAUAUACUUAACAAAUGGAUUAAUAAAUGUAUAAAUUUUAGAUUUCAGAAAAUCAAAUACAGGUGUUCAUAAGGAAAUGAUUAAAAACCCGUGUGUCAUUUAGAUAAGAUUAUUAUAGUACAGUUAACGAUGGUGAAAUAUUCUUUUACAUUAGAUAUAAUAGCAUUCCAGAUCUCAAUGGCAUUUUUUGUUAUAACAAAAAAAAAUUGUAUAUGUUCCAUACUAUCCUCAAACUUCAAAUUAUUAUUUUUCUUUAUUUUAAAAUUUGUAUUGGCACAUAUCUGUCAAUUAAUCAAAUUCAUAUCAAAACAAUAAUUCGAAUGAUAUAUUAGUUGGCUAGCUAUAAAUUACAAAUUAUUAGUGAUUAGGCAUGUUUUACACAAAUUAUUAGCCCAAACAACAUUUGAUUGUGUGCAAUGCACACACUUACUAAAAGCAGAUGUGAUCAUCUGUCCCACAAUUUAGUGUGUAUCACCGUGUACCAUUCUUAAUUUGUCUAUUUUAUAAUUAUUUGUUGUAAAAAUAAAAAAAAUAUUGUUAUAUUAUGAACUCUAAUUAAAAUUUAUAACUAAAAAUAAAAAUUAAAAAAAAUUAUAUACCCUAACUUUGAAUUAAUUAACCCAAAUAAUCAAUUAUUAAUUCAAAUAAAUAUAAAAAAUAAUUAUAAACUCUAAUUGAAUGAGUGAACCCUUAUUAAUUAGUUUCUUAUUAUAUUAUAAUAAAUUAAAAUUGAAGAAAAUAUAAUUAUAUAUUAUAAUAAAUUAAGAGUGGUACACGGUGGUACACACUAAAUUGUGGGACAGAUCCAUGUGCACUAAAUUAUAGGUACGGAGGUGCGGAUGCGGGGGCGAUACGAUACGAGUACGGGGAUACGGGUUCUAAAAAAUUAUAGGGUGCGAUUCGGCAAGGAUACAUCUAAUUAUUAAAAUUUUAUGAUAUACUAAUUGUUAGAAAUGGAUAUUGGGCCAAUUCCUCCCUUAAAAGGCCUUAUAAGGGAGAGGGUUACCUCACCAUAUAAAGUGGCUCAUGCCACUAUCUCCAAUCCAAUGUGGGACACUUCAAUACUAAUGCUUAUAAAAUAUAUACAAUUUAAAUUUUCUUAAAUUAAUUAUAUGUAAUUUACAUUUUAUUUUACCCAAAAGUUAAGCAUUUUCAAUUAUAUAAGUUAAUUGAGCAACAAUAUAACGAUUCAAAUAUUAUUAGUCCAAUAUAUAAGUCAUAACUGAAAAUAAAAUUAUCAAAAUAACCUUGUGUAGGCCUUUCGUGCACGAGAUACGUGAAUUUCGCCUAUGGAAUUUGCAAAUCCGGUUUAUUUUUAUAAAUUGUUUUAAAAGAUACGCACUGGUGAAUCGGUGCGAAUCCGACAAGAAUUCGAGAAAUCACACCCUAAAAGAAUCCGAUUCGCCGUACAUCUAAUUUUUGAAGAAUCCGUGCAUCAUAGGUGAGAAGAAACACAAGAGAGUAAAAUGGUACAUAAUGUAGAAAGACUUUUCUCCAAAAUAAAUGUUACAGUCUUCUAAUAGUCGAAAGGCGCAUGAAAAUGCGCAGUUAUUCGAAAGAAAGGAAAGGCUUAUUCAGCCACACAAUGACAUGGAAUUCGAAUUGAAAUUGAAAUUCAGACAAAUCCCAAACACGGUGAUGCAGAGAUCAAGCGGUAACACGAGGAAUGAUCUUAAUACCACCGAUGGUAACUUCGUCGCCGUUAAUGUGGGGAACGAUGGUGACGACAAUGAAAUCAUCAUCAGCAAUAUUGAUGUUCUCAUAGAGCUCCCUCAAGUUCAAGCGAAGGUCGUUGGCGCUUUCCGCAGCCCUAACCCUAUGCGGAAUCUGCGUGAAACUGCCGGCGAACUCGGCCCUGGCGAGGUCCUCUGGCUUGUCGUCUUCGUCAUUCACGAACACAUCGAACCUCACGAGCUUCGAACUAUCGGUGAUUAUGUUCUCCAGCACGAGCACUUCGUCGGCUUUGCCUUUGGUUGGUUUGGGCACCAAAACCCUGUGAGUCUUGUUGAGAGUGAGAGGGAACAGAUUGUCUCCACUCUCUGCCCUCUUGGAGAGAUCUUCGAUAUUCACCGGCACCUCCCUCCGCGGUGGCCGGUAGGCUGUCCACGGAGUUUCGCUGUGUUCAUACACGUAUCCCAUUUUGGUGUGGUCCAAGCAGUCGGCCACCUUGACGCGCACGAGGUUCUUCUUCUCGUCGUAGAACAUGAACGCCGCGUUGUUGAAAUCGUCGGGGUUGGGGACGACGAGGUCGUUGAUAUCCUUGGGGAAAACGGAUGGGAUAGUUUUCCAUAUGGUCCACAUUCUGUCGACGUUAGCGUGAUGUGCGUAGAAGAGAGGGUCUCUUCCGGCGGAGUAGAAGUUCCCCAUGUCUUCGCGGAAAUCGUUGGCGGGGUUUCCGGUCCAGACGUGGACGCCGCCGUGUGAGCCGCCCUCCGACAAUCCUCCCUUGGCGCGUGGCGGGGGCAAGUCCCCGGAAACGUAAGGAUCGCCCAUGAAGUCGAUGGCGGAUUCGACAUCACCAAUCAUUUCCUUGUACAUCUGAGUGAGAUUGUUUUCGAUGAUCGUUACAGGAUCGGUGAUCGGGGGGGUGGUUAUGGCAAGAGCAACGAGGGCCGGGGGGCGAUGCGUUGGGUCGCGGUUGACGUCGUAGAGCGGGGAUUCUUCCCUGUCGAACGGCCUGGGCAUCUGCAUACCCCUAGGGUUGUCCCAGUUCCAGUAGGGCAGGGCGAAAUCGGGAUCUCCGAUGAGUUCGCCCAUGAUCCUCUCGAAGAAAUAGAGGUACCACCUGUGGAAGGGGUGGAUCCAGAAUUUGUCAUUAGGAGGGACUAAAUUUGUUGAAGCAUGACGUCUCAAAUUAUUAGCCAAUUUUUUUUAGCAUUCCAUACAGUUCAUUUUUUUGUCGAACUACAUUCGAUUAAUUCAACAACAAGAACAUUGAAAGCAUAUAAAUACUUACCUCUCAAAAAUUGUUUCAUCUUCUAAGAAGAUAAGCUAAUUUUCAUCAUGGCAGUUCAUAAUUUUAAUUUAACUUGAGGAUUGACUCAAAUUCAACACUGAGAAUCAACUAAGAAAGGAAAGUAGACAAAAAUAACAUAAAUUUAACAAACUAACAUAUCAAAUUUAAAUCACUAUAAAAUAUUAAACAGUUAAAACGUGGAUACUAUAAUUAAUAAAACAAUGUAUUUUAUUAUCUCUUGUAUUUCUUAUCUAUACUAAUAGAAAAAGAGUCUAAGACAGUCUAAGGCACAACUUGUGGAUUGCCUAUUUUACCCUUAUUAUAUAUUUAUUAUUAUAUUUACAAAAUAUAAAUCUAUUUUGAUAAAUAUUUAUUUGUCACUCAAAUCUAUAAAGAAUACUUUAUAUCUAUAGCUAUUGAUAAGGCUUAUAAAUAAAUAUAUUCAUCCACAACGUACGUUCUUUCUGCUAGUAUAUAAUAAAAACAAAAACAAAAAACUCAAAAUUUGGGAGGCGGUCGAUCCGCUGCUAACCUGUGGAAAGGGAAGAAGAUCCAUGAGUUGUGAACCUGGAUAUCGAUGCCGGGGUGGUCCACCUGGUCGUAGGGGCCGUUGCAGUAAGCGCAGUGGAUGUUGGCCUGCUGAGUGAAGCCACGGGGAUCGUCGGGGUCCGUCACGUCCAGUUCCUUCAUCUUCUGGAUGGCCAACUCAUACUUGCGUACGUAUUCCGGUGUCAGCCUGUGCGCCGCCGGCCUAACGCGAGGUUUAGUGAACCUCGGAAGCUUGUAGUCGCUCUGAACGUCGGUGUAGGGCGGGCAGCAGUUGACGUCUAGAGAUAUUACCUCUUGGUUUCGAGUGGUGUAGGCACCUUCGGGGUCGCAGGUGCUCAGGUCAGGAGGCAAAAUCGGAAGCGCCUCAGCUUUGCGGAUGGCGCUGCCUGCGCCGUAUAGACCGCCCAGCCCAAGCAGCAUGUUUCUGCGGUCUAUACGGCCGCUGCCACCGCCACCGCUGCUGCAUGACACCUGAAAGCGGCCGUGGCUCCGCCGGCUGCUGAGCUGGGAGGGCUUGCGAAAUGGGGAGUUGGUGGCGGCGGCGAUCGCCGUGAAUGAAGAUUGAAGGGAAGCCAUGUUUGAGUGAUUGAUUGAUGGUCGUUGUGAUUACCUGGGGAGGCAUGUCUUUAUAUAGCAGAUGUGACACGAGUUUUAAGAAAAAUAAAUUAUCCGUUGAAUAAUUAAAUCGCCAUGUUUCUAUAAUUUAUUCCUAAUGGAUCUAGUCAAACUAAUCGUGCAAUAUUUAAUAAACCACGCAGCAUCAUUUCCGAGACUAAUAAAUGACAUUUUGAACCAGCUAAUCAAUUCCAUAUAAUUAACCAUUUGCGAGGCUGGCUGCCCUUCACUAAAUGGUUGUAUGCACUUGUCUUUGGAAAAGCUGUUUGGCCAUAUUAUGGCCAGUCAUAAUAUGGGAAAAUAUUAUAAAAGUCAUGUAUUUAAUUUUUUAUAUUUAAAAUAAAAAUAGGAUUUUAUUAGUUUUAUUUUUUAUUACAUAUUUUAGCUAUUUUUUUUUAUAAUUUUUCUGAAUUUUUUAGAAAAAUAAAAAAUAAAAUUACAAUGUGAACAAAAUUAUAAAACUAAUAAUGGUAGAGCAGCGGAGGGCACAGGUGAAGGGCAUGGCGGCGGUGUACUUAUUUUAGUCAAGUAAUUAUUAUUGCACGAAAAAAUAAUUAUUAAUAUAAAGAAAGAUAAUGUUUCAAAGACAUUAUCUUUCUUCAUGUCUAUUAAUUUUUCAUCACAAUAAUAAUUACUUCGAAUUAUCCGUGUUUUCAAUCGUGCGACCUGCACCCAGCCCGACCCGACCCGUUUCACCCAUAUAGUCAGUCUCACCCAAGUUUUUGCCUAAAGAUAAGUAUUAAUUAGUUGUGUAUGGUGAUAUGAGUCUUGUUUGUAUAAAUUAGUAGGCCUUUAAUAAUGAAUUGGCCCAUCUCAGGUGGUUUAUAUAAUUUACUCGUAUGGAUCUAAAUACAACUAAUCAUGAAAUAUUUAAUAUACCACGGAGCAUCUUUCUGAUAUACUAUUUAUAUAGUAAUUUAUUCCUAAUGGAUCUAAUCUCUGACUAUUUAAUAAUUAACUCGCCAUCGUUUAAAUAAUUUACUCCUUAUGGAUACACUCAAAGUAAUCGUGCAAUAUUUAAUAUACCACGCAGCAUCAUUUCUCAUACAAUAUUUUGGACCAUCUAACCAAUUACAUAUAAUUAAACCUUUUGCCAGGGUGGCUGUCCCUUCCACUAUAUGGUUGCAUGUAUUGAAUUGAAAUUUUAUUGAGGAAAAAAUGAAAAGAAAAACUAGGAAUUCAUUGAUAGCACGAAGACGCUAAUUAAGGGCUGAGCCUCAUCAAAACCUUUCCGAUAAAAAUCCAGUGAAAAAAACCACCAGCAAAGGAAAAAGAGUACCAGUCUAUUACAAUAAAAAAAUGAAGAACAAACUCAAGACAGGAACAACGAGAAGCACGAGAGGAUGAUAAAACAUCUAACCCGAAAAAAAAGACCCAAACCAAAGGAGCCUGACAAAUCCGGAGCCAGUACCAGCGCACCAGGAAACUGAAAAAGUUCUGGAGAAGCCACUUCGACCCAAGCACGCCAACCAUCCAAAAGAAACGACUACCACACCCACACCUAGGCCAAGAAAUAUAUAAUAUUGUGAAUAGUUCCCAUGGGAUCGAAACAGACCACCAAAACAAGAAAAAACCUCUAAGAGCAGACUACUCAUUGCCUGCCUGCCUAGUAUUCGAUGAAAUACCCAAACCAGAAAUCAUAGCAUAAAGCAAAAACCGCCACAGCUGGGGAGCGAAGAGCAGAAGGCCACCAAUAAGAUACAUUAGGAUUGCGCAAAGUCUGACAAAGAAAUCAGAAAACUUACCAGACCACUCUAGUUAAUGUAAUCUAUACAUGUCCGCACAUGAAAUUUGGUCAAGUUAGAUACACUAAUCUCAAAUCUAUUUAAUUAACAAAUUGAUUGAUUGAUAUUUUUUUCUGAGAGAAAUUGAUUGAAUAAUUUUUAGACUUCAAAAACUAAUAGUUAAUUGAUUGUUUAGAUAAGAUUAUUAUUACACUUUUAUAUAGAGAUAAUUAGUACUUGAGAUAUGUGCAAUUUACGCAUUCUUCUCUCGAGACAAAAUAAAUAUUAUUGACCAUUGAGAACUCUGCUACCACUACUCCAGUUCUAUUUAUUAUCAGUGUGCCCUCUCGCGCGCUGCACGGGUCACAACAUAUUUGAUUAUUUAAUUUUAGCUGUUUACGCAUACUUCGCUCGAGACAAAAAUAAAAUAAGAUUUAUUGAUCAUUGAGAACUCAGUACCACACCAUACUCGUGUAUACUAUAAUAUUUAUCAUUGUUUAUGAUUAUUACGUGUCUUCGCCGAUAAAUUUAAUAUUCAUUCCUUUAAUUUUUUUCUAUUGACAUUGGAAACUGUCUUGAUUCUUUUUUGGCCAUAUCAUAUAUUUAAAAAAUUGGGAGGGGAACGUGGAAGUUGAAUCUGAAAUAAGAAUCAAAUGAUACAUGUGUACUUUCAAAGAUAAAACGCAAAAUAUAUCAUUUUUUUGUAAAACAUAUAAAUUCUACUAUUUAUGAUUAUUUUAAAUUUAUAUAAUCUAUAUUUGUAUGUAUAUAUAUUCUCCAUUUGUUCAUGAAAAAGAGUCUCAUUGUAUGCUGAAUACGAGUUUUAAUAAAAUGGUUGUAAGUGUGAAAUAAAUGUAUAAUUUGUAAGAGUCUUUACAUUAGAUUAUAUUUUACUCUCUUCGUCCUAUUGAUAAUGACUCACUUUUCUUUUUCGUCUGUCUCAUUGAUAAUUGCAUGUUCCAAAAAAACUGAAACCAUUUGACCUCACAAAAUGUUGUGGGCUCCACUACUUUUUAUCACUUUUAUCCUUUAAUUACUAUUCUUAUUAAUAACCGUGUCGAACAGUAAUGAACUAUUAUCAAUGGGAGGGAGGGAGUAAUAUUUUAAUUUUGUUUGCUGCCACCACCACCACCACCACCACAAUUUAAAAAAAAAAAUCUACGUGAAUAUAGUAAUUAUUAGAACAAAAAAAUAACUAUAAUAAUAAUAUAUUAAUCCGUUAAUUAUCUAUACUAAUAUAAAAAGUGCAUUUGGCACAAAAUAUAUAUUGCCUGUUAUAUCCCUAUUAUAGUAUUUUAUUUGAAGGACAACUUUGUAAAUUAUAUAUUAUAUAUUUAUAAGAAUAUAUUAUUUCAUUAGAUAUUACACUAAAUAUAUUUGAUAUAUAUCUAGAUCUUAUGCUAUAAUUUUUUUUAUAUUAAUUAAUUAUUAUAUAUUGUGAUUUAAUAGAAUUAUACAACUCUAAUAAUUUAUAAAUGUAAAGUUCAGGGAUUGCAUGCAAUGCACACAUUCUAUGCUAGAAAAAAAAUAGAAUUCACUAAGCCGAUGAUAAAUAACACAUACAACGUACUAUUUCUGCUAGUAAAUUAAAAAUCUAUAUGAUUUUAUCUUCUAUCACUACAUUAAUUAAAAUCUAUCUUCCGUUUCAUAUUAACGGUGGUUUUUCAAUAUUUUUUAUAUUAAUUACUACAUAUUGUGAAUUUAUUACAAUUGUUAACCUCUAACAAUUCAUUAAUAUAAAGUUGAUGGAUUGUGUGUCAUGCACAAACUCUCCUGUACUCAUCUAAAAGACUCUAUAUGUGAGAAGAAACCGCAGGAGAGUAAAAUGGUACAUAACAUAGAAUAGAAAGACUUUCACAAAAUAAAUGUUACAUUCUUCCCGUAGUCGGAAGGAGCAUGAAAAUGCGCGGUUAUUCGCAAGAAAGAAAGGCUCACUCAGCCACACAAAACAUGGAAAUCCUAAACACGGUGAUGCAGAGAUCAAGCGGUAACACGCGGGAUGAUCUUAAUACCACCGAUGGUAACAUCGUCGCCAUUAAUGUGGGGAACGAUAGUGACGACAAUGAAAUCAUCAUCAGCAAUAUUAAUGUUCUCAUAGAGUUCCUUCAGGUUCAAGUGAAGGUCGUUGGAGCUUUCCGUGGCCCUAACCCUGUGCGGAAUCUGCGUGAAGCACCCGGCGUACUCGGCCCUAUCGAGCUUCUGUGGCGUGUCGUCUGCAUCAUUCACGAACACAUCGAACCUCACGAGCUUCAAGCUAUCGCAGAUUAUGUCCUCCAGCACCAGCACUUCGUCGGCUUUGCCUUUGGUUGGUUUGGGCACCACAACCCUAUGAGGCUUAUUGAGAGUGAGAGGGAACACAUUGUCUCCGGUCUCCGCCGUCUUGGCGAGAUCUUCGGUAUUGACCGGUUCCGGCCGCUGAGGUGGCCGGCAGGUCAUCCAUGGUGUAUGGCUAUAUUCAUACUCGUAUCCCAUUUUUGUGUGGUCCAAGCAGUCGGCGACCUUAACGCGCACCAGCUUCCUCUUCUCGUUGUAGAACAUGAAGGAGGCGUUGUUGAAGUCGUCGGGGUUGGGGACGACGAGCUCGUUGAUAUCCUUCGGGAAAACGGAUGGGAUCGUUUUCCAUAUAGUCCACAUUCUGUCGACGUUAGCGUGAUGUGCGUAGAAGAGAGGGUCUCUUCCGGCGGAGUAGAAGUUCCCCAUGUCUUCGCGGAAAUUGUUGGCGGGGUUUCCGGUCCAGACAGCCGCCCUCCGACAAUCCUCCCUUGGAGCGUGGCGGGGGCAAGUCUCCGUCAACGUAAGGCUCGCCCAUGAAGUUGGUAGCGGAUUCGACAUCACCAACCAUUUCCUUGUACAGCUGAUUGAGGUUGUUGGAGAUGAUCUGUACGGGAUCGGUGAUCGGGGGGUUGGUUAGGGCAAGAGAAACGAUGGCCGGGGGCCGAUGCGUCGGGUCGCGGUUGACGUCGUAGAGUGGCGACGCGUCCCUGUCGAACAUCGAGGGCAUCUGCAUGCCCCUAGGGUUGUCCCAGUUCCAGUAGGGCAGGGCGAAAUCGAGAUCUCCGAUGAAUUCGCCCAUGAUUCUCUCGAAGAAAUAGAGGUACCACCUGUGUAGGGAUGAAUCCAGAAUUUGUCGUUAGGGGGGCUAAAUCUAAAAGUAUUUGCAGUGGGGGCUCCCGUCCGCAAGACAAUUUUUUUUAACCAUUCCGUAUAGAUUUAAUUGGCUUAACAUUAGAAAUCAGUCACUUACUAUAAAAAAUAGUUGUUCGCAUUCCAUUAAUUCAACAACAAGUACAUUUAAAGCAUAUACAAACCUACCUCUGUGCAAUUUUUUAAAAUAUUAUUUCGACUUCUAAAAGAAUAAACUAAUUUUCAUUGUUAAUUAAUAGUUCAAAAUUUUAGUUUAUCUUGAAGAUUAACUCAAAUUAAAUAUUCAAUAUUACCUAAUUAAACAAAAAUGAGACAAAAAUAACACAAAUUUUUAACAAACUAACCUAGCAAAUCACUGUAAAAUGUUAAGCAAUUCUUUCUUGUAUUUCUUCUAUAUAUUAAAAACAAAAAAAUUAGGGAGGGGGCUUCAGCCCCCGUGGAUCCGCCACUAACCUGUGGAAGGGGAAGAAGAUCCAUGAGUUGUGAACCUGGAUAUCGAUGCCGGGGUGGUCCACCUGGUCGUAGGGGCCGUUGCAGUAAGCGCAGUGGACGUUGGCCUGCUGAGUGAAGCCGCGGGGAUCGUUGGGGUCCGUCACGUCCAGAUCCUUCAUCAUCUGGAUGGCUUUCUCGUACUUGGCUAUGUAUUCCGGUGUCAGCCUGUGCGCCGCCGGCCUCCUGCGAAGCUUUGUGAACGUCGGAAGCGUGUACUCUUCCUCGUCGUCCGUGUAGGGCGGGCAGCAGUUGGCGUCUAGAGAUAUUAUCUCCCCGUUUCUAGAAGUAUAGGCACCUUUGGGAUCACACUUGCUCAGGUCAGGAGGUGAAAUCGGAACCGCCUCAGCUUUGCGGAUGAGGCCGCUUGCGCCGUAUAGACCACCCAGACCAAGCAGCAUGUUUCUGCGGUCUACACGGCCGCCGCCGCCUCCAUCACUGCUGCACGACACCUCAAAGCGGCGCCUCCGCCUGCUGGCGAGCUGGGAGGUGGUGCGGAGGUUGGGGUUGGUCGUGGUCGCCAUCACCAUGAAUGAAGAUUGAAGGGAAGCCAUGCUUGAUUGAUUGAUGCUUGCAUUGCGCUCGAGGCAUGCAUGUCUAUAUAUAGUAGGCGUGGACACGAGUUUUAAGAAAAAUAAUGAUACUUAAUGGGAUUAUUUUCGAAAAUGAAUUAGGAAGAUGUUUUGGAGACGAAAAUAGAAAAUUGACCUUUUGCCAGGCUGCCCUUUCACUAAAUGGUUGUAUGCACUUAUCUUUUUUUUAUCUAUAAAGAGGUAUUUUCUCCAUUUAAAAAACUUAUCGAGGUAAUUAUGAAGACUAUUCAUUUUUAUCGUUGUAAAGUUAAUUAAAUUAUAAAAAUUAAAGUUGAUAAAGUUCUUAUUAAACAUCAUCGCUCUUCUGUCUUUGGACGACAAAAUUAAUUAUUUCAAAUAGAUAAAGAACUUGAUUUUCCGAUAUGGCUUCUCAUACUAAUUAAAUAAUCUAAUCCUAUAAUGUAUUUCAUAUAAAGUUAUCAAAUUAACAAUAUUCUGUGUGAAUUUUUUUGCCUUGAGUGUGUGUAUAGAGGUAGUCAGGGCCGGCCCUGAGGGUGGGCGGGCAUGGGCGACGGCCCAGGGCCCCAAAAAUUUGAGGGCCCAAAAUUUUUAAUAUAUCCUAUUAAUUAUAGAUCUUAUGUAUACUAACAACAUAGUUCAUCUAUUGAUUUUGGGCCCAACAUAAUUUAUUCUCAAAUUUAGAUCUAUACUUAAUAUAGAGAGUUUUCAAUUUGAAAUCAAUUUCAAAGUAAUUUCAAAAUUGAGUGACUAUUUUGUAGUUAUAAUAUUAAUAAAAUUGAAGGUUUAUGUUUAAACUAUAUAUUUUUAUUUUUAUUUUUAUUUUCAUUUUCAUUUUCUUUAACUUCUUAUUUGUUGUUACAUUUCUUUCCAAAAUUGUGAAAUUCAAUUAAUUAUAAAAUAUUUAAUAUGCAUAUCAAAUUAAAGAUCACAAUAAGAGUUUUAAUAUGAUAUAUUUUAUGAAAAAUAUUUGAUUUAAAAUGUAAAAUUUAUGCAUGUUCAAAUAUUAAAGUUUUAUAAAUUUCUCUCACCUCUCUCAUCUUUACGAAUAAAUAUAUUUUUAAUUCUUUUAAAUUAGUAUUUUAUUUUUAAUUUUUUUAACUUAUUUUUUUGUUUUUGUAUUUCAUAAUAUCAAAUUUUAUAAUUGUGAAUUCUUUUUUUAUUUUUUUUAAUAUUCAAUUCAAAUAUAUAUAAUUAAAAUUAAUUUUUUAUUAUAUUUAUAAGUAUAAUAAUUAAAUUAGUAUUAAUUUUAUAUAAAUAGUAAAAACAAAAAAUAUUUCCCGUGCAUGAGAUGCAAAUGGUAGUUGCACCUCGCCGCCGGUAAUAUAUUUAAGUAUAUAAAUUAAUUAAUAUUAACAAGGCGCCCGGUGAUCACCGGAGGCAUCCUUGCCGCUGGUAUUUCUGCCGCUACUUUGAAAAAUACGGCCGUCGGUAAAUCUGGCCGCAAAUUGUGUACGUUUUUUGGUAGUGGUAAUAUAUUAGGGCCCAAUUUUUUAAUUUCGCCCAGGGCCUCAGUUUUGUCAGGACCGGCCCUGGAGGUAGUUAUAGAAUUUAUCUUUUGUGUUCUCAAAGGAACUUAAUUAAGAUCCAAUGUGAUUGAUACAUUUCGACUAAAUGGAUGGGCAAGAUUCUUUUAACGCCCAAUAUUAAUUCCAUCUCAAAUCGGAUCUUAUAUAAUACUGUAUUUUAUAUAUUCUAUAAUGCAUUUUAUAUAUUACGUGUCUAUUAAAUUAACAUUGAUCUUAGGAGUGAUACAAGUUUAAAAAAAAGCUAGCUGUAUAUUUGGUGAGUAGAGAAGGGAUUUCAGAAAUUAGAAAAAAUGGUGAUAGGUAGUGGAAUUAUUUUAAAAAAUGGACUAAAAAGAUGUUUCAUGAACGAACGAAAAUGGCAAAAUAGGAAGAUGAGUCGUGGUCGGAGGAAAUAUUAUAAUGCAUCGUAUCCUUUUUUGGUUCGUAUAAAGAUUUUUAUUUGAUCCUCAUCGAGAACAUGCAUAUUGCGAAUACUUAAUUUAUUUCAAUAUAUAUAUAUUAAUUUAUUGGGAGCAUAUGCUAAAUAAAUUAAAUUAAUCCGAAUCAAAAGCGCUUAAUUAUCACUACAUUACAUGCAUUAUGACAAAAAGCCUGCGGCUAAAGAUCUUCAGUUUAAGUCUAUUGUCAUAUUGUUUUUAAAAUAUUAUUUAUCCAUUCCGCAUAUGGAUUGGUCAGAUUUAGAUACACAAAUCUCAAAUGUAUUUAAUUAACAAAUUGAUUGAUAAAUUUUAGAAUUCAAAAAUUAAAUCAAUCAAAUACGCGUGUCCACAGUCAAUGGAUUGAAAAUAUGCAGGUAUCUAGAUAAGAUAUAUUAUUAUUAUUAUUACACUGUUAACUAUACUGCAGUACACUUUUAUAUAUACAGACAUAAUUAAAAUAUGCAGGUAUCUAGAUAAUAAGAUUAUUAUUACACUAUUAACUAUACUGCAGUACACUUUUAUAUAGAGAUAAUUACUAGAGAUAUGUGCUAUUACCCAUACUUCGCUCGAGACAGAAAUAAAUACGAUUGACCAUUCAAUUAAACACUACGACACCAUACUCGUGCAUGUACUAACGAUCUUAUUAUAAGUGCACCUUCCCGUGCGAUGCACAGGUCAGUAGAAUUGUAAUCGAUAUUGAUGUGAAUAUCAUCAUAUUCGAUUCGUAUUUGUGAAAAUACUCUAAUAUUUGAUUCAGCAUUCGAUUCGAUCACGAAUACUAAAUACGAUCCCAUAUUCGAUUCGAUGUUAUUUUUGAAUUAUUUGAUACAUUUUUUAAAAUUAAUUAAAUAAUUUUUUUACGAAUAUUCGAUUCGUUUUCCAUCAUAUUCAAUUCAAAACUAUUCGAUUUGAAAUUCUGAAGGAAAAAAUAUGUUAAAUAAUAUUCUAAAAAAUAUAGGAUUAUAUCCAAUAUAUUUACCUAAUAAUUAAACACACAAUAAUAAAGUGUUCAAUUCAUAUUGUUUUAUGUCCCGUGGUUUGUUUCUAGGAUUGUGGUAAUAAAGACUGAUUGGAUCAGUCUAGUACAGUUGUUGUUUGAAUUUGUAAUUUUGUGUAACGGCAUUGUCAUCUUGUUGAGAUUAAUAGGAGUUAAUUUGUUUAAUUAAUUAUUCAUGAGUUUCUUAUAAGAUACCUUCCUUCGUUCCGUAAAAAUAGUCAUAAUUUUUCAUUUUAGAACGUCCAUAAAAAAAUAGUGUUAUUCCAUUUAUAAACAAUUUAGAUCCUUACCUUUGGGAUGAGAUAAAAUGAAAUUCCAUUUUAAAUCAUAAACUAGCUAUAUAGGAAGCAUUUUCAGCUCUUGAAUUCAUCUGUUGUUCGAAUUUCAUAGGAAGCAAGUUUUUUUGACUCAUUAUUUUCACAGCGAAUUCAUCAUGUUACACAUACCCUAAAGUGAUAUAUUUACCCUAUUUGAUAACAUGAUAAGUAUAUUUGAAGCGCUCACUAUUUUAUUUGAACUUUAUUAUCGAGUUUAAACGAGUUUUGAAAUAUUGAAUUAAAUUGAAAUAUCCAUGUUGAUCGUUUAAGAAGCAAAUUUUUGGCAUGGGUUUAUAAAAAAUACAUCCUAGCCUCCAUCCCUAAUAAGUGCGGUGUGAAGGAGUGGGCAAUAGUUCUUUAAAAAUAAUUGAGAGAUGUGUAUAAAGUGGAUAAAAUGGCUUACUAGAGCUGAUUUGUUAGGCCUUACUUUCUCUCUGCCCCACUAAAAUAAGCUCAAUUCUUUUGAGAACAUAGAUUAAUAAACUUUCUUUUGAGAAGAAAAUUAAAGUGGUGGCAAAAGUAAUGUGGUCCAUACCAAUUAAGCAAUUUGAGUACAUUUUUUUUUUCACUCAAAAGGAAAACGAGCCUAUUCUAGCGGGACAUUCCAAAAUAGAAAACGAGCAUAUUCUGCUGGGACGAGGGAAUAAUAAAUUGUUUGUGAGAUGAGUAGUUUGUAAAUAUUGUGUGUGAAAGGUGUAUGUCUUAAAUUGAAAAGACCAUACCUGUAUUGUGAUUGUACGGAAAGGUGGAACUGAGCAUCGCGGCGGCGGCGAGGCAGGAGGCGGCGGUGGUGAGGAGAAUCGAGAGAGAGAGAGAAAGAUGCCAGCAGACAGUGACGGAGGGCAGUGGGCGGCCCUUGGCGGCAGCGGAGACGACAAGGUACUGGCUGUGCCAGAAUUAUUUAGUUGCAUAGGAUCCUUCCAAAUGUAAUUACUGAUUCACUGUUGGAUUAACAAGAAUUAAAUUACUUCAUAAUACAGUAUUCCAACUGUUCGAUAAAAGCCCUUAAUGAAAUCUUCCAUAGAUUACUUUGCAAAGUUCAUAAAAUUACUCAAAAGCAUUGUUGCAUAGUCCGUACAUAGAGAUGGUCGAUUAUCUUAAUUAUGUCUAGAUUUAUUUACGACACACACACACACACAUCACAAAAUCACACAUACUGACUAAUAAGGUUCCCGAAAGCCGGCAUUAUUAGGCGCCAUGGUGGCCGUGAAAUACCAUGAGACGAUAUCAUGGGUGGUGGGUCCGUCUAGUCUGGUGGCGGCGGAGAGCCCUACCUGAACCUGCUAAGGAAGAAAGCCGCUCAAAUCAUACUCAUAGCUGACUUCAAACGUCUUCGAGCCGGCGGUGGCACGGACGGCGAUCUACUUUGUGGAGGCGGCGUAGUUGAUCCUCGCCGUCACCUGCUGCUCGAGUAUGGAGCCGUCGACCUCCGUCGUGUUUCGGGAUGACCUAGACCCGAUGUCGAUGCCGAUGUGGGGAUAGUUCGGAUCCCACGCGCUGUUGACGUAGGUGUCGAACUCGACGGCAAAUACCGAGGGGUUGCUGCCGGAGGAGCCGAAGAUUCCGAGGUUGGCCCCGCUGGAGCCGGUGGGGAUGGUGGAGCGGCGAGAUUGGUGAUGCUGGGUGUGGUGAUGAAGUUUACGGUGGUUUCAAAGUCGACUUGGCCACCGGCUUGGGAGAAUUGGACCGGGUUCGUGUACAAGACCCGGCCGACACUACCGAUCUGCGGUCGCCUUGGUAGGUGAGGUCGGUCGGCUGGUUGUCCCAGAAGUUAUAGGCGAAGGCCGUUGAUCGGGACUUCGCCCUGUUGGUGGCGACGGCGAGAAGAAGGGCGAUGGAGAUUAGGGUUUGGAGAAGGUUGGCCAUGGCUUAGUUGUGCAGUGAAUGAUGUCUACUACUUGCUCCUAUUUAUAAUGAUCGAAAAUAUCUACUACUUACCUACCACAGAUCCACAUCAGGGGCCCUGGAUGGGGUGGUCGACUACAUAAGCCCAAAAAAAUAAGGGCUCGGAAAAUAUAUAGAUCCAUGUAAGUAUUAUAUAUAUGUAUAAAAUAAUUAAAAGCCAACUAAUGAUUGAAUUGAUUAACUUGGCGCAGUGGAAAAAGGACAUUUUUAAUUCCUCUUAAUUACCAAUAUUUUAUUUAGUGACCAAUUUUUUUGUUUAGAUAUAGGGCCCAGCCCCUAUUUUGAUAAAUUAAGUGUAUGUAUUUCAAAUUAACAUUAUUUUAAGUUGUCGAAUUUUUUUGUUAAGAUUUAGGGUCCAGCCCCUAUUUUGUUAAAUUAACUUUAUUUUAAGUGAAUGACAUAAUUAUUAAUAUAUUUAUUAAUUAUUAUGUAAUUUGAUAAAAAAAUGUUUUAAAUAAUUUUAGUUUAUAAUUAAUUUAUUUCUCAAUUAUAAAUAAAUGGCCUAAAUUAAAAAAUUCGCAAAGGGCCUAUGUUCUCUUAGCCCUACCCUUGCACUGUUGCACAUGGUAUAUAUAUCUAUUCUAUGAAUAUAAGUGAUUAUUUUAUAAACCACGUGAAAGCACUUGUUCCCACUAGCACUAUAAAAGCAAUAAAUACAACGGAAAGAAAAUAAAUUACAAUUGAAUACAUUAGGAGAAAAAUUACUUCUAACCUAUGGAAUUACUAACAACGAUACUUAUACCAAAGCUAAAUUGGACCAACUAACUGUACACUCUUGUAUUAUAUCAACCUACCAGACCUUAGUAUUCACGAGUCUCCCACAGUCUAGACUGAUUCACAAUAUAUACCAACAUUGGAACAAGUUCAGUAAUACACUCUAUUUAUAUAUAUUAUUAUAUACACAAAAAUGCAUGGCUGCUGUGGUAUUACGGAAGGAUCGAGAAUUACUCGAUCCUUGGGAAAAGGUUCAAAUGAAACCUUUAUUAUUACUCUCCGUCCCCCAAAUAAUAUCAUAUCCGAUUUGGGAUAUUACCCCACCACUAAUAAUACUUUAUUUAUUCUAACUUCUCAAUCUUUCACCAUUCUCAAUACUAAUUAUAACACAUUUUCAUCACUUUCAAUACUAAUUAUAAUUUCUUUUCUCCACUGCUAAUACGUACACUUAACAAUUUUUCCUUAAAACCAGUGUCGUCCCCUACUAAGAAGUUAUUUGGGGGACGUAGGGAGUAUUUUUUAAUGAUAUGGCAUCCAAAUAUGUUGUGACAAUCCAGUGAGCAAUAUCAACUUUUUGGAGCUGAAAACCGAUGUGAGGUACAACUAAUACACAAUAUGUUGUGGCAAUCCAGUAAUAUACCCUAAGGAUGCGUCAUCUUUUGUUGUAAAUUUAUCAUGGAAAAAUGAGGGAUAAACAAAAUUUCACCCAUUAAAUCCUUCAUUUUUUCCCUCAUUUCUUACAAAAUAGAAUUUGACCCUUACUCAUUUCUCAUUUUCACUGCAAAGGGGGGCUAAUAUUAUCUCUCUAUUUUUGGUAUAAUGAAGAAUUUGAUACGUAAUUACAAUUAAUUAUAAUGAAGUGUGUAUUUUAGUUGCUCAUAUUCUUGGAUUAUUUAUGCUUUAAUGAAACGAUCCACUGCCUUUAACAUUUUGGCAUUUUAAAGUAAACGCCGAAAUGCAACGAUCCACUGCCUUUUAAGUAAACACCCUUGCUAACCCCUGCAUGCGUUUUUUCAUCAAACACUUGGGUUCAUUCUUUUAGGCAUUUUAUCAAACAGUUGUGCUCAGCCUCAUCCUUUUGAUCACAUUCCCAUAUCUCUCCUUAUAUGAAACCGCAUUUUCUAUUUCUCAUAUAUUUCCUAUAUAAUAUUUCCAUCAUUUCUAGCUCAACAAUAAUUCUUCUAGCAAAAUUAUCAUUUCAAAUGCACUCUUUUCCUUUUCUACUUUCUCUUCUGCAUAACAGAAAUACUAAUCCACCAUAAAAUAAUCAUAACUUUUUCUUAAUGAUACGAUGAGGGCACAAAGUUGAGAUGAUAAAAUCAUACAUAUUGGCGAAUGUUGCCGCCGGCUUCCUCUGACUUUUGGAUGCUGAGGGGAGGGGUGGCGGUGAAAUACCAGGAGUUGAUGAUGAAUUUGAUGGUUGUUUCCAUGUCCACCUGCCGCAGAGACCGAGAUACGAUUUUAGAAACAAACGGCAAAAUUACAAUUUCACAUAUAAAAAAUAAAAGACAAUUAAUAAAGCGCAUAAUAUUGGUAAGAUGCUUCCAACCAAUAGGUCGGGAUUGUAUAUCGUGUGAGUGUGUUUUUCAUUUUUUAGUAAUAACAUGUCGUGCUCGGGGCUUUUUUCCGUAUCUGCCCCUGCUUCCCGUCGUCGUGCCCGACUCGUCGGUUUUUGUCAUGCGGAGGUAGGUGGUGGCGUCGGUGAAGUUGGCGUCGCCUUCCAAGCGUAGGCCUUCCGAAUGUGGCGGCUUUUGGUAGAAGUCGUAGGUGAAGGAGACUGCAUCGCCGACCGACACGGUGGCGAGGAGGAGGGCGAUGGAGGAGAGGAGAGGAAUUAAGGUUUGGAGAAGGUUGGCCAAUUUGAUUAAAUGUAUUUGGAUGUAGUGGAUGAUGGUGUAUCGAUCUCUUGCUCCUAUUUAUAGUUGUAAAUAUAUAUUAAUAAUGGUAUCAUUCAAUCAUUAUACUUUAGGCCGGCCGGGCCGGAUCCUCUAUUCCAAAUUCUAUGUCUCAUUGUUCAUAUUCACUAUUAAUUUCACUAUUUCAAUAAUUAAAAAAAUUCAUAGAGUUUGGGGCAGAGGAUCCCGUUUGAAUCCCACAUGGAUCCUCUGUCCCAUAACUUAUUGUGUUCCUUCCCAUUAUUAAUCUCGAUAUUAUAUUUCUACUUUGGAGUUAAUUCAUUAUAAACCCAUGAAAGAUCAGACGAAAUUCAUCCAAUAAACAUUUAUAAAUUUAUAUUUAAAUUUUGUUUCGCGGGUAUCUGAUAGAUAAUAGGUAUUCGUGGGUGGCGAAUUUGGGUAGCAUUUGAUAUUCAUAGAUAGUUUCAUGAUUAAAAUCCAAUAUUCAUUUAGUUCACGGGUAUGGUAUGACAGCCACUAUCUGUGUACGUCAUACCUGAUUGCCAGUAUGACAAAUAUAAAAGUUGUGAGAUGCACAGCAGCUUAAUUAUUCAAAUAGAAAUAUCAUCACAUGUGCAUUGAUAUUUCACAAAAUAAAUACUACUACUAAUAAAUACUCCCUCCGUCCACCAAAGAUAUGCCACUUUACUUUCGGUACGAGUUUUAAUAAAAUGUGAGUGAAGUUGGUAGUGGAGUAAGGGUCCCACUUUAAAUGUGAGUGGAAUGGUAUGGACCUUACUACUAAAAAUGGAUGUGGCAUAUUUUUCGUGGACGAACGAGAAAGAAAAUUGUGGCAUAUCUUUGGUGGACGGAGGGAGUAGUACUCAUUGAUAAUGCAUGCCAACACAUGGUUCUUGCAAGUCAUAUAUAUACCUCAUCAGCAAUAUAGUAAAAUGAUGAUUUGACAACCAGAUUAAGACACCAAUUAUUCUUGUCGGGACACAGACAUAUAUGCAUAUAGAAUUAAUAUUAUUUACUAUUUCGUUUAUACACGUGAAUUAUGCUUUGGAUGCAACAUCGCCACGUCUCUUUCAUUUAUACUUCUCUAGUGUAUUGCGGACAAAAUAGUUAGUGUCUUUAAGAAAUUAAAAAUUUUCAAAUACAUAAGAAAGAAUAAUUAAUCUAAUUGGUGCGCCGGCAACUAAAACUUUUUUCAAUUCACUUUAUAUUUUAUAUACUCCCUCCGUCCACGAUUUAAUGCCCCAUUUUAGUGUGGGCACGGAGACUAAGAAAACUGAAAAAGGUGAUGUGAAUGAAAUAUAAGGGUAGUUGACUAAAGUGAUAAAGAUGCUGUGAGUGGGUUCACUAGUGAUAAAGUAUAGGAAAUAUAGAAUAUAAAAAUGAUAAAGGUGUUUUAAGUUGGGUCCAUUAGUGGCAAAGAGUAAUAAAUAUAGAAAAAGAAGAGUAAAAAAGUACAAAAAGCAUAAUAGGGCUUUAAUUUGUGGACAAAAAAUUAAGAGCAAGUAGGGCUUUAAAUUGUGGACGGAGGGAGUAUUUAACAUUACAAGUCAAUUGCUUGCAGAAUUUGAGCUUGUCUCCCGUGAUGGAGACCUCACCAUGCGGCAACCCGUGCCUGCGCCUGCCUUUUUUCUUCCCGUCUUGCUCUAUCCAGAUAUUAUACGUGAUCCAACUCUUUCCAGAUAUUAUACGUAAAUGAUAAUUUUACUAACAAAAAUUACACUUUUUAUCAAUAACAAAUGAAACUAUGCAUACAAAACAGGAGGUAAAUGAUAUUUUUCUUAAUAACAACUGAUACUUUUUCAAUGCAAAUAAUACUUCGCAAAUGAUAUUUUAAUAUAAAAGUAAAUGAUACUUUGUAUAAAAAUAAAUGUUAUAUUACAAAUGACACUUUUAAUGCAUACCAAUGACACUUUUAAUAACAAAAAUUGAGAAAAAAAAAUUAGAAUUCGGCCUUAAUUAAAAUUUGGACAACAUUUAUUUGGGCAAAGAAGAAAAACACCUGAAUUUUUUUUUUUCCUUUUUUGAGAGAGAAAAACUCAUGAAAUUUCAUGCAAAAGGUAAUGCAUAGCCAACCGGGCUCAAUCAUCUUUCGGCGGUUUUGGUUUGAUUCUUCCAACAUCUAGGGUAGCAUUCACACAAAAUCAACUCGUGUUCAAAAAUCUGAAAUUAAAAUUAACGAUGUGUCUCAGUAUAGAGAUAAGAACAUACCCCUCAAAUGGUUCGAGCCAAGGUCUAAUUCCUUCAGCAGUGUGAUAUUCCAAAUUUGAGUAGGCAUAUAUCCGCCAAAGUUGUUGUCUGACAAGCGAAUACUCUCAAGUUGUGGACAUUGGUACAAACUCGAUGGUAUAUCUCCUUCCAAAUUGUUAAAGGAUAGGUUCACUAGUUUAAGUCUUUGAAGGUUAUUGUACGUGCNUAGACAACAAGAAAUAUCUAUUGUCUAUUCUAUGACAAAAAAAUUAAAAAAUUCUAAUAUAUCUGCAUCCCUGUAUUACAAUACCAAUAUAUAUGAAAAAAUAAAAAUAAUUAAAAAUCAAAUAAUCAAACAAUACUUAUAAACCACUAAUACUCACAAUCAAAUAUUUACACAUCAGUGUAAAUAUUGGGUUCGAGUCCUCUGCGUGUGUUGAUCAAGCGGUAAGGGGUUAAUGCCUAAGGUCAAAGGUCUGGGAUUCGAGUCCCCUGUGGUGUAGCCUUUUAAUUUCGUUAUUUAAUAUUGUAAAUUUAUAAAAAAAAAAAAGUAUAUUUACACAUCAACAAUUGUAUUAUCUUUAAUACGCCUUCAUUCAUCUAAUAAAAAAAAUCUCUAAUAAAAUCUCCAACUAACUCCGGUCAUGAUCAUCUCUUGAAGGCGGAGGAAGGUGGAGUCCGUCGGGAAAUGGGUACUGCCUUGAUAGAUGAGAUCUUUCGGCUGGUCGCCCCAGAAGUCGUAGGUGAAGGACGUCGUUUGGGACAACGCCGUGUUGGAAACGGAGAGGAGGAGGACGAUGGAGGAGAGGAGAGGAGUUAAGGUUUGAAGAAGCUGGUUGGCCAUGGCUUAAUUGAUUUAGAUUUAGAGAUGUGGUGGAUGAUGGUGGUAUCGAUCUCUUGCACCUAUUUAUACUAGUAUGGUUCAUGCCUGUUAAUAAUUGUAUAUAUCAAUCAUCGUGCAUCUAUCCCAAAUUAUAUGUCUUAUUAUUCACUAAUUAGAUGGAUUAAAUCCUGAUUAGUAACCAUAAAAUUAAACUGUCAAUGAGGCCUUGCUCUAGUGGCAAAGCUGUGACACCGAAUAACUUUUCUUUGUGAAAUGUCUUGGGUUCAAUCUCGCCUGCAUGCGGUGAUGUGUGUCCAUUUUAGGUGGUGUGGUAUUCUUGUCUGCGUGCGGUGUUGUAUUGUUUAGUGUUGAGGUCCCACAUGCAGAGCGUUCUUGCCUGUGUACGUGUCACAGCCCAAAACCAUUUAUUUUCUUUACAAAUUUUAUAUAUGAAAAUUAUUUAAUUUUUAAGUUAUAGAGUUUUUGAAAUAUAUAUAGUAUCAAUUUUAUGUUAACUUAGUCGUGUCCCUAAUUAAAAGAAUGACUUUAAAAUAAAACUUAAGCCUUAAAAAUUUAAUCUACAUUCAUAUAUAACUGAAAUUACAUGCAUGUCUAAAUAUUAUUUAUAAUUAUCAAUAACAAGAUUAAUGAUUCUAUAUCUCUAUGUUUAUACAUGUAUUCACGUAUGACAUAGUAUAUAUUAGCUAUUAAGUUAAAAACUAAUAAAAUACUACACUUUUGCAUAGGAUAUAUAUUUAAUUAGUAGUAGGAUAGGACACGUGUAUUAAUUUUAAGGGCAAGUAAUCAAACUUUUGAAUGAUUCAUCAUGCUUAAAAAAAAAAGAGACCUAGAUAGAUGAUUCAUCAGAUUCAAAAACAAGUAUAAAUAGACUUCGGGUUUGAAAUUUUAAUUAAUUUGCAACAACAAUUCAAACUGACUGUAUUAAGGUAAGUAGUUACAGAUUUCAUACACAUAUUAUAUGAUUUCGCACACAUAUUAAGGUAAGUAUAUAUAAAUAUUUUUUAAAAUCAUAUAUUAUAUAAUAAUUAUAUUUAAGUUUUAUAUUAUUCUUUAUAAACUAUUGUUUCAUUCUAUAUAAUUAGGUGUGGCACGACUAGGACGUAACUUUCUAUUGAAUUUCUCAAGUUAAUCUUAGAGUUCAAGUUUCAGGUGUGAGAUUUAUUUAAAUACAUGUCGUACGUGGUUAUUUAUUGUCCAUUUUAAUAAGAUGUGUUUACCAUAUGUGUUAUGACGCAUAUUUUUAGGAUAUCACUAGGUGCCCAUAAAUAGGAUCCAGGACUUCACCGUCCUUGGAUUGCCACAAUGCGAUUUGAGGUUUAUUUUGAGGAUGUCGUUAGGGGCCCGUACAUAGGGUCCAGGACUUUAAUAGUCAUUGGGUUGCCAUAGUGCAAAUAUUGAGGAUAUAUAUGAAGUGACCGUAUGUGUUACCGUUUCAUUAACGUGGACAAUGAUUGCAUGUUUAAGAGACAAUAACCAAUUUUUCAGACAUUUGUGAACAAAAUGAAGCAUGUUUAGAGAUCCUUAAUACAGGUGUACGAAAUGAUGGAUAAAUAAGUUUGUGAAACAAAUUUCACCAUACCUAACCCCACAAUUAUUUGCGGUCGAAUUUCCUCGUCACAGGAAAAAGAGAUGAUGACAAAAGGGAAAAAAUUAAUUAACAAAGUAGAAGAUGCAUGACAACUGUAAAAGAAAAAUAAUGCUACUAAUUAAAUAGUCCAAACUUCAUACGUUUCAUAUCAUAAGUGGCAGUUCUAUUUUUUUUUUUGCGAAUGUGAACAAAAUAACGAAUAAUUUUUAAAGUAAUAGUAAUAAGGAGAUGUGUUUUGACAGAAAACGACAUGAGCGGCCUAAAAAUAAGAGGGAAAAAGAUAAUCAUAUAAAUAUUCAAAAUCAAACGGAUUGGCAUGUAUUCAUCAUUUUUUAUUUUUUAUUUUGAUAAUUUAACAGUACUCCCUCCGUCCGUCAAAAGUAGACCACUUUGGUUGGGCACGGGAUUUAAUAAAAUUAGUGAUGAUUUUGAUGUAGUAGAGAAAGAGUUCCACCACUUUAUGAGAUGUGUGGUUGAGAUUGAAUUUGUUGUGAUUUUUUUGUAAAUAAAGAGUGUUUGUAAGGAUAAAAGAUUAAAGUGGGUGGUGGGACCAUUUCCAUAAAAGGAAAGUGGUCUACUAUUUGCGGACGCCCAAUAUAGUAAAAGUAGUCUACUUUUGGCGGACGGGGAGAGUAUUAAAUAAAUAAAUUUAAAGGUUGCACCCCUUACUGCUUGGCUUUUAGAUUAUGUUAUAAUAAUAAAAUUAACAGCACGUUUACAAUAUAAAAUUAAUUAUGAUAAAUACAAUAUAUUAAUAAUAAAUACUCAAUUACCUCUUAACAUAAUUCGCGCAUCAUGGCUUUUAGCUUAUAUUAUAAAGAUAUAAUAUGUUGUCUAUAAUAAUCGACGGAAGGUAAUAGACAACAUGUUUUAUAUGUUGUCUAUAAUAAUAUAGACAGUAGAUCUAGUGUUAUAGAUAACAAUUAAUACUUGUUGUCUAUAUGAUGAUAGACACCAAAAAUCUCUGUUGUCUAUUCUAUGACAAAAAAAUUUAAAAAAAUUCUAAUAUAUUUACAUCCCUGUAUUACAAUACCAAUAUAUAUGAAAAAAUAAAAAUAAUUAAAAAUCAAAUAAUCAAACAAUACUUAUAAACCACUAAUACUCACAAUCAAAUAUUUACACAUCAACAACUGUAUUAUCUUUAAUUACGCCUUCAUUUAUCUAUUAAAAAAAAUCUCUAAUAAAAUCUCUAACUAACUCCGGUCAUCAUCUCUUGAAGGCUUAGAAAAUGUCCAAAUACAGCGGCACAUGCUCAUUAUUGUGUGAGCGAUGAGAACUUUGCGCUGAACCUAUAAAGUAACUAUACUUAACUGGUAAAGUAAUUGUAUCCCGUGAAUCUAAAGGAAGACUACACACGUUGAUAGAGUUUGAAAGAAAAGAAUAAAGAGAAUGAAAAUCCAAAGAAUUUGCUUCUUCCGUUGAACAAUCCCUACACAACAUUGAAAUAUCAAUGAAAAUAAUGGCUAUCGUAUACUCCCUCCAUCCAUGAAAGAACUUCAUAGGAGGGAGUGACACGGGUUUUAAGAAAAAAUAUUGUUAAGUGUAUUGAGAGUGGAUAAAAGGUAGUUGAGUGUAUUGGGAGUGGUGAAAAUGUGUUAUAGUUAAUAUUGAGAGUUGUGAAAAGUGAAAAGUAAGAGGAUUAUAAGUGGUGGGGUAUAGUCCAAAAAUAGGUAGGAAGUUCUUUUGUGGACGUCCCAAAAAGGAAAGAUAUGAAGUUCUUUCGUGGACGGAGGGAGUAUUAUUUUGCAGCAGCAACCACGUUUGAAAACUCGAUCCCUCUGUUCUUGAAUUUGUGAAAUUUCCGACUGAUUUAUUAGAUUCACCAUUUAUUUCAGUUUAAUUAGUCUAUAUAUAGAUAUUUCUUAUAUUAUUAAAUUGUUAACCUCAUGGUAGAUUUCAAGAUUUGAAAAUUCAACAAAGAGCUUGAGAAUUAUUGAGAUUGGAAGGGGAAGAUGAAACAUAAUUGGGUGAAAUUAGAAACCAAUUAAAGUCACAAGAUUGAACAAAAACAUAACUUAAAAACACAAAAUAAGCAAAUCGUAGAUGCAGUAUCUUGCAAGAAAAAGUUCAUAUUCCCAAGGCUAUGAUGAGCACGAAUUAGGGUGUGUCUGCAUUUUAUCCCUCUAAAUAGAGGAAUAACAAAAUUUUAUUCUUUAAAUGUUUGCUUUCUUAUCACACAUUCUACACAAACACCAUUUUUUCUUCCUUAUUUUCACUUCAAGGAGGANUAAUAUUAUCCCUCCAAUUUUGGUGUGAUAAUAUUAUCUCUUCUUGAAGUGAAAAUAAGGAAGAAAAAAUGGUAUUUGUGUAGGAUGUGGGAUAAGAAAGCAAACAUUUAAAGGUAUAAAUUUUUGUUAUUCCUCAUUUAGAGGAAUAAAAAGCAAACACACAUUAGAGUCUACUUACAAUUUAGGCGCAGGCUGUGCGAGAAUUACUUAGUCGAAUAGGAUCCUAAGUAUUUAUAUUUCUCAUGUUCUUGUGUAUUUUUUUACUGAUUCACUAUUGGAUUAACAAGAAUUAUCUUACUUUAAAUUUCUUGCUUUAAAAAAAAAAAAGAAUUAUCUUACUUCAUGUAUGGUAUGCCAACUGUUCGAUAAAGGUCCUUUUAGAAAUCUUCUAUUGAUUACCUUGCGAAGACCACAAAACUAGACACACCCAAAAGCAUUCUUGCAUAGUUUAUACAUAGAGAUGGCCGAUUGAUGAUCGUCUUAUUUGUAGACUUAACGCGAGCAGACUCGAUCGCUUAGUCCUUAUUGAUUUACGACACACAUGCUCACACACACACAUACACACAUCACAAAAUCACACAAAUUGACGGAUAAUGUUGCCGUUCAGCUCCUUCCUGAACCUCACCGCGGCAUUUUUCUGCACCAUAGUGGCCGUGAAAUACCACGAGACGAUGUCAUGGACGGCGACGUGUUGUCCGGUGGCGGCGGAUAGCCCGACCUGAACCUGCUGAGGAACAAAGUCGCUCAAAUCGUACUCAUAGUUGACAUCAAAUGUCUGCGAGCCGGCGGUGACUUUCACGGAGAUCAUCCUUGUGGCUCCGACGUAGUUGAUCCGCGCAGUCACCUGCUGCCCGAGUAUGGAGUUGUCGACCUUCGUCGUGUUGCUGGAUGCCCUAGAGCCGAAGUCGAUGCCGAUGUGGGGAUAGAGCGGAUCCCACGCGCCGUUGACGUAGGUGUCGAUUUCGACGGCGAAGACCGAGGGGCUGUUGCCGUUGGAGCCAAAGAUUCCGAGGUUGGCUCCGUUGGAGCCAGGGGGGAUGGUGGAACCGACGGGGGCAAUGAAGAAGGCGAGGCCGUCGGCAGGCUCGUUGUCGGCGCCCGGGGUGAUGAUGAAGUUCACAGUGGUUUCGAAGUCGACCUGCCCACCGGACUGCGAGAAUUGGACCGGGUUCGAGUGCAAGACGCGGCCGACUUGUGAGGGCUGUGCGUCUGUGAGGCGGAGGAAGGUGGAGUCCGUCGGGAAAUGGGCGCUGCCUUGAUAGAUGAGAUCUUUCGGCUGGUCGCCCCAGAAGUCGUAGGUGAAGGACGUCGUUUGGGACAACGCCGUGUUGGAAACGGCGAGGAGGAGGGCGAUGGAGGCGAGGAGAGGAGUUAAGGUUUGAACAAGCUGGUUGGCCAUGGCUUAAUUGAUUUAGAUUUAGAUUUAGAGAUGUGGUGGAUGAUGGUGGCCAGGUAUCGAUCUCUUGCACCUAUUUAUACUAGUAUGGUUCAUGCCUGUUAAUAAUUGUAUAUAUCAAUCAAUCAUCGUGCAUCUAUCCCAAAUUAUAUGUCUUAUUAUUCACUAAUUAGAUGGAAUAAAUCCUAAUUAGCAAUCUUAAAAUUACACCGCCAAUGAGGCCUUGCUCUAGUGGUAAAGCUGUGGCACCGAAUAACUUUUCUUUGUGAAAGGUCUUGGGUUCAAUCUCGCCUGCAUGCGGUGAUGUUUGUCCAUUUUAGAUGGUGUGGUAUUCUUGCCUGCGUGCGGUGUUGUAUUAUUUAGUCUUAGGCGUUCUUGCCUGUGUGCAUAUCACUGUGUGACAAUUAAAAGAAUGACUUUAAAAUAAAAGUUAAGCCUUAAAAAUUUAAUCUACAUUCAUAUAUAACUGAAAUUACAUGCAUGUCUAAUUUUUUUAAUAUCAUAACAAGAUAAGAUUUAUUAAAUAAUUCAGAUGCAUAAAUAAAAAGUUAAUCUAUAAACACAGUAUAGAUAUAUUAUCAAUGAUAGGCCGUGUAUAAGUCUUAAUCUGUAAAACUAUAUCAUCCCAGCCUUAAACGACUACCAUUCCUGCUUUCCCAGAGCAACCACACUGUUCCCACCCACAAAGCUUUAAGCAGUACAUGCAUGUCUAAAUAUUAUUUAUAAUUAUCAAUAACAAGAUUAAUGAUUCUAUAUCUCUAUGUUUAUACAUAUAUUCACGUAUGACAUAGUAUAUAUUAGCUAUUAAGUUAAAAACUAAUAAAAUACUACAGUUUUGCAUAGGAUAUAUAUUUAAUUAGUAGUAGGAUAGGACACGUGUAUUAAUUUUAAGGGCAAGUAAUCAAACUUUUGAAUGAUUCAUCAUGCUUAAAAAAAAAAAGAGACCUAGAUAGAUGAUUCAUCAGAUUCAAAAACAAGUAUAAAUAGACUUCGAGUUUGAAAUUUUAAUUAAUUUGCAACAACAAUUCAAACUGACUGUAUUAAGGUAAGUAGUUACAGAUUUCAUACACAUUAUAUGAUUUCGCGCACAUACGUAUGUAUAUAUAAAUAUUUUUUAAAAUCAUAUACUCCCUCCGUCCCCAAAAUAAGUUCCUCUUUGGGGACGGCACGGAUUUUAAGGAAAAGUGGUAAAGUGUAUUAAUAGUGGAGAAAAAUAUGUUAUAAUUAGUAUUGGAAGUUGUGAAAAGGUGAAAAAGUGUUAUAAUUAGUAUUGGGAGUGGUGAAAAAGUGAAAAGUAAGAAUAAAUAAAGUAUUAUUAGUGGUGGGGUAGUUGUCCAAAAAUGGAAAAAAAGAAAGAGGAACUUAUUUGGGGGACAUCCCAAAAUGGAAAAAGAGGAACUUAUUUCAGGGACGGAGGGAGUAUUAUAUAAUAAUUAUAUUUAAGUUUUAUAUUAUUCUUUAUAAACUAUUGUUCCAUUCUAUAUAAUUAGGUGUGGCACGACUAGGACGUAACUUUCGAUUGAAUUUCUCAAGUUAAUUUUCAAGUUCAAGUUUCAGGUGUGAGAUUUAUUUAAAUACAUGUCAUGAUUAUUCAUUGUCCAUUUUAAUAGUAUGUGUUUACCAUAUGUGUUAUGACGCAUAUUUUGAGGACAUCGCUAGGAGCCCAUAAAUAGGGUCCAGGACUUCACCGUCCUUGGAUUGCCACAAUGCGAUUUGAGGUUUAUUUUGAGGAUGUCGUCAGGGGCCCGUAAAUAGGGUCCAGGACUUUAAUAGUCAUUGGGUUGCCACAGUGCGAAUAUUGAAGAUAUAUAUGAAGUGACCGUAUGUGUUACCGUUUCAUUAACGUGGACAAUGAUUGCAUGUUUAAGAGACAAUAACCAAUUUUUCAGACAUUUGUGAACAAAAUGAAGCAUGUUUAGAGAUCCUUAAUAAAGGUGUACGAAAUGAUGGAUAAAUAAGUUUGUGAAACAAAUUUCACCAUACCUAACCCCACAAUUAUUUGCGGUCGAAUUUCCUCGUCACAGGAAAAAGAGAUGAUGACAAAAGGGCAAAAAUUAAUUAACAAAGUAGAAGAUGCAUGACAACUGUAAAAGAAAAAUAAUGCUACUAAUUAAAUAGUCCAAACUUCAUACGUUUCAUAUCAUAAGUGGCAGUUCUAUUUUUUUUUUGCGAAAGUGAACAAAAUAACGAAUAAUUUUUAAAGUAAUAGUAAUAAGGAGAUGUGUUUUGACAGAAAACGACAUGAGCGGCCUAAAAAUAAGAGGGAAAAAGAUAAUCAUAUAAAUAUGGGUUAAUUGCCUCUAAAUACACCACCUUUCCUUGAAUUCUACAAUUGCACAUCACCUUUAAAAUCCGCCCUUAAAUACACCACCUUUCCUUGAGUUCUACAAUUGCACAUCACCUUUAAAUCCGCCCCAAAAUACAUCAUCUUUAUAUUUUUUCUGUUUUUGCACAUGACUAAAAAAUUCUCAAGAAAUAAAUUAAAGUGUUAAUUUAUAAAUUUAAAUAUCUUUUUAGCAGCGAAAACAUAAUAAAAUAAAAUUCUUUAUAAAGUUUAAAAUCAUAUAUAUAUAUAUAUAUAUAUAAGUAUUUUCGUAAAGAAAUAAAUUCUCUAAUAAAUUUUUAGAAAGAACUUGAAUUAAAAAAAUAAACAAGUCAUGACAUUAAGAAAAUAAAAUGAAAUUUUUAUUUUAAUAAAUUUCACACGAAUUCGAUAUAAUUUGGAAUUUAGAGUUACAAUAAUCAGAAGUACCACAUGAAUAAUAUAAUGAGUUUGAAAGAAAUUUUUUUUAAAGAGGUUCGACACGCCCAUUCGACUUUCCACGCGCCUCCAAUGUCAUUUACCUGAAAUAUUAANUAUAUAAGUAUUUUUCGUAAAGAAAUAAAUUCUCUAAUAAAUUUUUAGAAAGAACUUGAUUAAAAAAUAAACAAGACAUGACAUUAAGAAAAUAAAAUGAAACUUUUAUUUUAAUAAAUUUCACACGAAUUCGAUAUAAUUUGGAAUUUAGAGUUACAAUAAUAAAAAGAACCACAUAAAUAAUAUAAUCAGUUUGAAAGAAAUAUAUAUAUAUUUUUUUAAAGAGGUUCGACGCGCCCAUUCGACUCUCCACGCGCUACCAAUGUCAUUACCUGAAAUACUAAAUAUGGGAUAAGCAUACAUAAUAUACUUAGUGUGGGAACAUGCAAUUAUUGUCCACGUUAAUAAAAUAGUAACACAUACGAUCAUAACAUUCAAAACGACACAAUUUUGCCAAUAUGGAAGCCACGUCAUUUAAAGUGGUAACACCCUAAUCUAACUAAAGUGUUAAAUAUAAAUUUAAAGCGGAAAUAUAAUAAAAUAAAGUUCUUUAUAAAAAUAAAUAAAGAAUUUUAUUUUAUUAUAUUUCCGCUGCUAAAAAAGAUAUUUAAAAUUUAUAAAUUAACACUUUAAUUUAUUUCUUGAGGAUUUUUAAGUCAUGUGCAAAAACAGAAAAAAAAUAUAAAGGUGAUGUAUUUUGGGGCGGAUUUAGAAUUCAAGGAAAUGUGGUGUAUUUAGGGGCGGAUUUUAAAGGUGAUGUGCAAUUGUAGAAUUCAAGGAAAGGUGGUGUAUUUAGGGGAAAUUAACCCUAUAAAUAUUCAAAAUCAAACGGAUUGGCAUGUAUUCAUCAUUUUUUAUUUUUUAUUUUGAUAAUUUAACAGUAUUAAAUAAAGAAAUUUAUAGGCUGCGUCCCUUACUGCUUGGCUUUUAGAUUAUGUUGUAAUAAUAAAAUUAAAAGCACGUUUACAAUAUAAAAUUAAUUAUGAUAAAUACAAUAUAUUAAUAAUAAAUACUCAAUUACCUCUUAACAUAAUUCGCGCAUCAUGGCUUUUAGCUUAUAUUAUAAAGAUAUAAUAUGUUGUCUAUAAUAAUCGACGGAAGGUAAUAGACAACAUGUUUUACUUCUUGUCUAUAAUAAUAUAGACAGUAGAUCUAGUGUUAUAGAUAACAAUUAAUACGUGUUGUCUAUAUGAUGAUAGACACCAAAAAUCUCUGUUGUCUAUUCUAUGACAAAAAAAUUUAAAAAAAUUCUAAUAUAUUUACAUCCCUGUAUUACAAUACCAAUAUAUAUGAAAAAAUAAAAAUAAUUAAAAAUCAAAUAAUCAAACAAUACUUAUAAACCACUAAUACUCACAAUCAAAUAUUUACACAUCAACAAUUGUAUUAUCUUUAAUUACGCCUUCAUUUAUCUACUAAAAAAAAUCUCUAAUAAAAUCUCUAACUAACUCCGGUCAUCAUCUCUUGAAGGCUUAGAAAAUGUCCAAAUACAGCGGCACAUGCUCAUUAUUGUGUGAGCGAUGAGAACUUUGCGCUGAACCUAUAAAGUAACUAUACUUAACUGGUAAAGUAAUUGUAUCCCGUGAAUCUAAAGGAAGAAUAAACACGUUGAUAGAGUUUGAAAGAAAAGAAUAAAGAGAAUGAAAAUCCAAAGAAUUUGCUUCUUCCGUUGAACAAUCCCUACACAACGUUGAAAUAUCAAUGAAAACAAUGGCUAUCCUAUACUCCCUCCAUCCAUGAAAGAACUUCCUAGGAGGGAGUGACACGGGUUUUAAGAAAAAAUAUUGUUAAGUGUAUUGAGAGUGGAUAAAAGGUAGUUGAGUGUAUUGGGAGUGGUGAAAAUGUGUUAUAGUUAAUAUUGAGAGUUGUGAAAAGUGAAAAGUAAGAGGAUUAUAAGUGGUGGGGUAUAGUCCAAAAAUAGGUAGGAAGUUCUUUUGUGGACGUCCCAAAAAGGAAAGAUAUGAAGUUCUUUCGUGGACGGAGGGAGUAUUAUUUUGCAGCAGCAACCACGUUUAAAAACUCGAUCCCUCUAUUCUUGAAUUUGUGAAAUUUCCGACUGAUUUAUUAGAUUCACCAUUUAUUUCAGUUUAAUUAGUCUAUAUAUAGAUAUUUCUUAUAUUAUUAAAUUGUUAACCUCAUGGUAGAUUUCAAGAUUUGAAAAUUCAACAAAGAGCUUGAGAAUUAUAGAGAUUGGAAGGGGAAGAUGAAACAUAGUUGGGUGAAAUUAGAAACCAAUUAAAGUCAGGAGAUUGAAGAAAAACAUAACUUAAAAACACAAAAUAAGCAAAUCGUAGAUGCAGUAUCUUGCAAGAAAAAGUUCAUAUUCCCAAGGCUAUGAUGAGCACGAAUUAGGGUGUGUCUGCAUUUUAUCCCUCUAAAUGGAGGAAUAAUAAAAUUUUAUGCCUUUAAAUGUUUGCUUUCUUAUCACACAUUCUAAACAAACACCAUUUUUUCUUCCUUAUUUUCACUUCAAUGAGGGAUAAUAUUAUCCCUCCAAUUUUGGUGUGAUAAUAUUAUCCCUCCUACAAGUGAAAAUAAGGAAGAAAAAAUGGUACUCCCUUCGUCCCAAACGAAAUGUCCUGUUUUCCUUUUUGGGCUGUCCCAAACGAAAUGUCCUGUUUCCUUUUUUGGCAAUACACUCUCUCUCUAUACUUAAUAUUUAAAUAAUUUUCACCAACCCACUUUAUCUACUUUAUACACAUUUCUUAAUCUCCGUGCCGAAAAGAAAUGGGACAUUUCGUUUGGGACGGAGGGAGUAUUUGUGUAGGAUGUGGGAUAAGAAAACAAACAUUUAAAGACAUAAAUUUUUGUUAUUCCUCCAUUUAGAGGGAUAAAAAGCAAACACACCUUAGAGUCUAAUUACAAUUUAGGCGCAGGCUGUGUGAGAAUUACUUAGUCGAAUAGGAUCCUUAGUAUUUAUAUUUCUCAUGUUCUUGUGUAUUUUUUCACUGAUUCACUAUUGGAUUAACAAGAAUUAUCUUACUUUAAAAAAAAAAAAGAAAUGAUCUUACUUCAUGUAUGGUAUGCCAACUGUUCGAUAAAGGUCCUUUUAGAAAUAUUCCAUAGAUUACCUUGCAAAGACCACAAAACUAGACACACCCUGCAUAGUUUAUACAUAGGGAUGGCCGAUUGAUGAUCGUCUUAUUUGUAGACUUAACGAGAGCAGACUCGAUCGCUUAGUCCUUACUGAUUUACGACACACAUGCACACAUACACAGAUACACACAUCACAAAAUCACGCAAAUUGACGGAUAAUGUUGCCGGCCAGCUCCUUCCUGCUCCACGCCACGGCAUUUUUCUGCACCAUGGUGGCCGUGAAAUACCACGAGACGAUGUCAUGGGUGGCGACGUGUUGUCCGGUGGCGGCGGAUAGCCCGACCUGAACCUCCUGAGCAACAAAGUAGCUCAAAUCGUACUCAUAGCUGACAUCAAACGUCUGAUUGCCGGCGGUGACUUUGACGGAGAUCAUCCUUGUGGCUCCGACGUAGUUGAUCCGCGCAGUUACCUGCUGCUUGAGUAUGGAGCUGUCGACCGGCGUCGUCUUGCUGGAUACCCUAGAGCCGAAGUCGAUGCCGAUGUGGGGAUAGAGCGGAUCCCACGCGCCGUUGACGUAGGUGUCGAUUUCAACGGCGAAGACCCCGGGGCUGUUGCCGUUGGAGCCAAAGAUUCCGAGAUUGGCUCCGUCGGAGCCAGGGGGGAUGGUGGAGUCGACGGGGGCAAUGAAGAAGGCGAGGCCGUCGGCAGGCUCGUUGUCGGCGCCGGGGGUGAUGAUGAAGUUCACGGUGGUUUCGAAGUCGACCUGCCCAUUGGACAUCCAGAAUUGGACCGGUUCCGAGUACAUGACGCGGCCGACUUGGGACGGUUGUGCGUCUGUGAGGCGGAGGAAGGUGGAGUCCGUCGGGAAAUGGGCGUUGCCUUGAUAGAUGAGAUCUUUCGGCUGGUCGCCCCAGAAGUCGAAGGUGAACGACGUCGUUUGGGACAACGCCGUGUUGGAAACGGCGAGGAGGAGGGCGAUGGAGGCGAGGAGAGGAGUUAAGUUGGCCAUGGCUUAAUAGAUUUAGAUUUAGAGAUGUGGUGGAUGAUGGUGGUAUCGAUCUGUUGCACCUAUUUAUACUAGUAUGGUUCAUGCCUGAUAAUAAUUGUAUCAAUCAAUCAUCGUGCAUCUAUCCCAAAUUAUAUGUCUUAUUAUUCACUAAUUAGAUGGAAUAAAUCCUAAUUUGCAAUCUUAAAAUUAAACCGCCAAUGAGGCCUUGCUCUAGUAGCAAAGCUGUGGCACCCAAUAACUUUUCUUUGUGAAAGGUCUUGGGUUCAAUCUCGCCUGCAUGCGGUGAUGUUUGCCCACUUUAGGUGGUGUGGUAUUCUCGCCUGCGUGCGGUGUUAUAUUGUUUAGUGUUAAGGUCCCACAUGCAGGGCGUUCUUGCAUGUGUGCGUGUCACAACCCAAAACCAUUUAUUUUCUUUACAAAUUUUAUAUGAAAAUUAUUUGAUUUUUAAGUUAUAGAGUUUUCGAUAUAUAUACAUAUAGUGUCAAUUUUAUGUUAACUUAGUCGUGUCCCUAAUUAAAAGAAUGAAUUUGAAAUAAAAGUUAAGCCUUAAAAAUUUAAUCUACAUUCAUAUAUAACUGAAAUUACAUGCAUGUCUAAAUAUUAUUUAUAAUUAUCAAUAACGGGAUUAAUGAUUCUAUAUCUCUAUGUUUAUACAUAUAUUCACGUAUGACAUAGUAUAUAUUAGCUAUUAAGUUAAAUAAAAUACUACAGUUUUGCAUAGGAUAUAUAUUUAAUUAGUAGUAGGAUAGGACACGUGUAUUAAUUUUAAGGGCAAGUAAUCAAACUUUUGAAUGAUUCAUCAUGCUUAAAAAAAAGAGACCUAGAUAGAUGAUUCAUCAGAUUCAAAAACAAGUAUAAAUAGACUUCGAGUUUGAAAUUUUAAUUAAUUUGCAACAACCAUUCAAACUGACUGUAUUAAGGUAAGUAGUUACAGAUUUCAUACACAUUAUAUGAUUUCGCGCACAUACGUAUGUAUAUAUAAAUAUUUUUUAAAAUCAUAUAUUAUAUAAUAAUUAUAUUUAAGUUUUAUAUUAUUCUUUAUAAACUAUUGUUCCAUUCUAUAUAAUUAGGUGUGGCAUGACUAGGACGUAACUUUCGAUUGAAUUUCUCAAGUUAAUCUUCAAGUUCAAGUUUCAGGUGUGGGAUUUAUUUAAAUACAUGUCGUGGUUAUUUAUUAUCCAUUUUAAUAAUAUGUGUUUACCAUAUGUGUUAUGAUGCAUAUUUUGAGGAUAUCGCUAGGGGCCCAUAAAUAGGGUCCAGGACUUCACCGUCCUUGGAUUGCCACAAUGCAAUUUGAGGUUUAUUUUGAGGAUGUCGUCAGGGAUCCGUAAAUAGGGUCCAGGACUUUAAUAGUCCUUGGGUUGCCACAGUGCGAAUAUAUUGAGGAUAUAUAUGAAGUGACCGUAUGUGUUACCGUUUCAUUAACGUGGACAAUGAUUGCUUGUUCUCACACUGAGUGUACUCUGUAUGCUCAUCCCAUAUUUAACGUGGAAGGUCGAUUGACGAAUCAAAUAUUUUGUAUUUAGCUUUACCUAAAUAUGUUAUUUUGAGUAAAGUAUUUUAAAUAAAAAUUUAUUUCAUAAUUUUCUCAUUAAAUAUUUAUUUAUAUUCAUAGCUUUUCCGCACAAAUAUUUAUUUAAAUUUUAAUUAGAUUUGGGUGUCACUGUGCGGUGAUGUUUUUCCACCGUUUCGGUGGUGGUGAGGCCCCACCUGCGUGCACGUUAUAUACUUGAUUAUAUUCAGAUACCUCUUGUAAUUUUUAAAAAAAUAAUCAUAAAAUUAAACCAAAGCAUAUAAAAUUGAAAUUGGCCAAAAAAAUAUAUAAAAAUAAAUAAAAUUAAAAAUGGGAUAUAAAGUGAGACAUUAAAUGUGGUACACUACUGAAUCUCAAUCCAACACGUGGAUGCUACAUUGUACUUGUCGGAAUAUUAGAACUUCUACAAAAUAUUGCUAUUGGAAACGUGAAAUUUUAUUAUGAGAAAACUUAUACCUGACCCCACAGUCGUGGGCACGUGUUAUGUUGCGCGGAAAUUAAAGUGGUGGGGACCGUAAAUGGUAUUUUAGUCUUUUAAUUUAUUUUAGUAUACAAAAGAGUUAAUUUUAAAGAGGCGCUAAAAAACACAUCACUUUUAAAAAUUGGUAUUUAAAAUCUUGAACCCCUUUUAUUAUUUUAGAAAGAUAUUAAUUAAUUGAUAAAUUAAUAAAUUAUUAAUUGAAACAAUUAUUUUAAGCAAAUUUAAUUAUAAUUACCUAAAAAUUUAAAAAACAUAAAUUCAAUACCAUUCAAAUUCAACAAACUAACUUAAAUUUUUACUUUAAAAAAUCUUCAUCAAUCUUGCAAUCUCGGCUUGGACUAUAAAUGUUCAACAAGAGACAAUAACCAAUUUUUCAGACAUUUGUGAACAAAAUGAAGCAUGUUUAGAGAUCCUUAAUAAAGGUGUACGAAAUGAUGGAUAAAUAAGUUUGUGAAAAUUUCACCAUACCUAACCCCACAAUUAUUUGCGAUCGAAUAUCCUCGUCACAGGAAAAAGAGAUGAUGACAAAAGGGAAAAAAAAAUUAACAAAGUAGAAGAUGCAUGACAACUGUCAAGAUAAAUAAUGUUACUAAUUAAAUAAUCCAAACUUUAUACGUUUCAUAUCAUAAGUGGCAGUUCUAUAUUUUUUGCGAAAGUGAACAAAAUAACGAAUAAUUUUUAAAGUAAUAGUAAAAGGAGAUGUGUUUUGACAGAAAACGACAUGAGCGGCCUAAAAAUAAGAGGGAAAAAGAUAAUCAUAUAAAUAUUCAAAAUCAAACGGAUUGGCAUGUAUUCAUCAUUUUUUAUUUUAAUAAUUUAACAGUAUUAAAUCAAGAAAUUUAAAGACCGCGCCCCUUACUGCUUGGCUUUAAGAUUAUGUUACAAUAAUAAAAUUAACAGCACGUUUACAAUAUAAAAUUAAUUAUGAUAAAUGCAAUAUAUUAAUAAUAAAUACUCAAUUACCUCUUAACAUAAUUCGCGCAUCAUGGCUUUUAGCUUAUGUUAUAAAGAUGGAGUAUAAAAUAAUCAUCACCUGUGCAUGAUAUUUCACAAAAUAAUUAAAUAAUAAAAUAAUCAAUCAUAAUGCCAAGACGUGACUCUUGUCGGUCAUAUCUCAUCAACUUUAUCUAUAUAGUACAAUGAUGAUUAAUUUGAGAACGACGAUUAAGACACCAACUAUUCUUGUGGGGACACAUGCAUAUAUAGAAUUAAUAUUAUAAACUCUCUCGGUCCACGAAAUAACUUACUAUUUUUUCUUUUAAGAACGUGAACAAAAAAAAUUCCCAUCGAUAUUUCGGAACUAUACCCCACUACUUUAAAAUACCUCAUUUUACCCUUUCUUUUUCACAAAAACAACAAAUUACUAAUAAUUUUUCACUAUUCCUAAUAUACUGAACAAUUUUUCUCCACUCUCAAAUUUUGUAGCACCGAAUAAAAUUAAAUACUAGUAUUAUUUUUUGUAGAACUAUAAAUAAAUAUUAUUCUCAAAACAUGUACUAUUACUUACUAUUUUUUUUAAAUGUGGGACGACCAAAAAAGGAAAGAUGAAUUCUAAAAGCUGGGACAGAGGAUAUAUUAUUUUUCUUCUUGGUUCUGAAGUAUGAAUAUUAAUUAACAAUUCUUCGUCCACAUCAAGCUCACCUUCACGUAAUUUUUUCUUGAACAACACCGAAAAAUAUAUAAUCCCAACAUAGCAUGAUCAAUCUCAAUGCACCAAACAUAAAUUAGUUUUAAAAUAAUAAUAAGAUUAACUACUAUAUUGCUGAAUUAUGCAGUAGAAUUAAAAGCGUGAUUUUUUUUUAAUAGAGCAGGUUAAUCUAGGCCUACCUGAACCAUCUGACUAUGCAUGAGUUUGAUUUUUCUUCUUGAUCUUUUUUAAUUUUACCGACAAAGAAGAUUUUCACAAAUGAAAAGAAAACGUUCUAGUAACAUACUACAUGCUUACUUCAGAUUUGCAACCAAGUCUAUUGAGGGUUUUAUUUGCUACAUAUAUAAACACAAGGAUUUGGUUUGAUACAAAUUAAGAAUAUUCAACUUUCAUCGGCUCAAGCACAUAGAAUCUCCCCGAGUAGUUAUAACUGGUCAAUGUUUUUGCCGAUAAAAAGGAAAAGGAAAGAAAAAAGAAAGAAGCAAGACGGAGAAAAAGUUGUAGUAAAUGAUUAUGCGAUGAAAAGAAAAUGGAAAAGAGAAAGAAAGAAGAAAGUUGUAGGAAUUUUGAAGAAUUUGUACUUAUUUAGAAUUGUGGUUAUUGUGGGAUCUUGUAUAAUAAUAAUAAUAAUAAUAAUAAUAAUAAUAAUAAUUAUUGGGCCGUUCCACGAAUCUUGGCACAUUUUCAAAUAAGGUAAUAAUUCAUUCUCUCUCUUACUUUAUCACUUUAAUACUUUAUUAACUACAAACUUAAAACACUAAUAUACAAUUCCUUAAUUCCCGUGUCGAAACCAAACGUGUCAAGAUUCGUUGGAUGGAGGGAGUAAUAAUAAUAAUAAUAAUAAUAGUAAUAAUAAUAAUAAUAAUAAUAAUAAUACAUCAUUGCCCUUUAAAAAGUUUUAAAAUAGGAACAUAAUAUGUAAAUCUAAUUUUGUAAAAGAAGCUCUUCUAUAGUAAUAGUUAUAGAUUUGGUGUGGAGGCAUUUGUUUGAGAAUGGGUAAAACAUACCAUUAACCCUUUGAUAUAUGCACGAGACACUUAUUUGUGGAUAGGACAAGAAUUAUUUUGUUGCAUAGGAUCCCUUCCAAAUGUAAUUACUGAUUCACAAUUGGAUUAACAAGAAUUAACUUACUUCAUAUUCAGUAUUCCAACUGUUCGAUAAAAGUUCUUAAUGAAAUCUUCCAUAGAUUACCCAAAUGCAUUGUUUUGCAUAGUCCGUACAUUGAGAUGGUCGAGUAUCUUAUGUCUAGACUUAACGAGAGCAGACUCGAUCGCUUAGUCCUUAUUUAUUUACGACACACACACAUCUCAAAAUCACACAAAUUGACGAAUAAUGUUGCCAGCCAGCUCCUUCCUGUUCCACGCGCCAGCAUUUGUCUUCACCAUGGUGGCUGUGAAAUACCAUGAGAUAAUAUCAUGUUUGGCGACGUAUGGUUGGUUUAGUCCGCUGGCGGCGGAGAGCCCUACCUGAACCUGCUCAGGAAGAAACUCGCCCAAAUUGUACACAUGGCUGACCUCAAACGUCUUCGAGCCGGCGGUGGCACUGACGGUGAUCAUCUUCGUGGCUCCGACGUAGUUGAUCCGCGCAGUCACCUGCUGUCCGACUAUGGCGUCUCCGACAUUCGUCGUGUUGCUGGAUUCCCUAGAUCCGAGGUCGAUGCCGAUGUGGGGAUAGUUCGGAUCCCACGGGCUGUUGAUGAAGGUGUCGAACUCGACGGCGAAGACCGAGGGGCUAUUGCCGUUGGAGCCGAAAAUUCCGAGGUUGGCCCCAACAGCGCCACUGGGGAUGGUGGAGCCGACGGGGGCAAUGAAGAAAGCGAGGCCGUCAGCGGUUUUGCCAUCGGGGCUGGGUGUGAUGAUGAAGUUAAUGGUGGUUUCAAAGUCGACUUGGCCACCGGAUUGGGAGAACUGGACCGGCUUCGAGUACAAGACCCGGCCGACCUGGUAUGUCUCGAAGUCGGUGAGGCGGAGGAAGGUGGAGUCCGAUGGGAAAUGGGCGUGGCCUUGGUAGGUGAGAUCGGUCGGCUGGUCGCCCCAGAAGUCGUAGGUGAAGGACGUUGUUUGGGACCACACCGUGUUGGCAGCGGCGGCAAGGAGAAGGGCGAUGGAGAUUAGGGUUUGUUGAAGGUUGGCCAUCGCUUAAUUGAUUUGGAUGUGGUGGAUGAUGGUGGUAUCUUUAUCUUGCUUCUAUUUAUAGUAGUAUAACGAGCCCUAGUUAAUUAUCUUUAAAUCAUACUAAAAUAUCAUAAAUUAAAAUUGAAGAAAAAAAAGUUAAAACCUACUCUCGCAGUCCCUCAAAUAACUUCUUAGGAGAAGAGGGGUAGGAGUUUUAAGACGAAGUUAAUGUGCAAAGUAAGGAUAAA